rnacentral:lncRNA from 1 species
GGGAAGCCGGCUCCGCUAUUAAAAGCAAACUUCUUUAUUUAUUUACAGACUAGAGUCAAGGAGCUUCACCCGUUACACACUUGAAUCCUUUUUCUAGGCACCAUAAAGGAUCCCAACAAUUAUACAUUACAAGUCAUUACCUUUAUUUAUAGACCAGACACAAGGCGCUCUGCCCAUACAACAUACUUGGAACAUUUUUAAAGGCACACUAAAAGACCAUCCACAACAAAACAUUGAUUCGAUCAUUACACUGGAGGUCGCCUUUUCAUCGGAAAUUGAGAUUUACCUUACCAAGAGGUAAUAUCAACGUUACACAAAACAUGACAUAUAACCAUGUCUAACCUUAUAUCUAGAUUAGAUUACACAGUACACACCAGCUUAAUUAUCUUACAGUAGUAUUCAAUUGGAAUACAAACGCCAAUACACUUUACCAUCGAAAGUAUGAUCAGAAUCCAGAACAUUUCCAUGAGGUACCUCUAUAAGAUUAAUCUGCAAAACAAGAGAACCUCCUUCCUGCACAUGACGAUCUUUAUACAGUUCAUCUAAUUGAACCAUAGUUCUAAGGCCAUGAAUAGGACGAUUUUUAUCAAUAGGCCUAUAACCAUUAGUAUAACCAGAUGCAACAACAUCAAAAGAUGCUUCAGCAUCCAUAUUAUUGGCGGCUGCAGGAGGCAGAUCUCCUCUCCAAGCAUCCUCGUUAGCUCUGGGAACAAAUAAGACGGCCCAAGAAACAAUAGGAGCCCAACUUCGACCAAACAAACCAAAAUCCAUCCUAUUCAAGUUCUUCAAAACACCAGGAUCUGCAUAACGCAGAAAAAAGUAGUCUGAUUUAAAACCUAUCAAUUUUUGCUGAUCACACGCCAUAUCUUCCUUGAUUAAUGAAAAAUAAGCGCUCAGAAUCAGAGCACUUGCCUCAGAAAUUAUUUUCGUUGCUCUGUCACUCUUUUUUCUGCUGCCGUCCAAAGACAUUUUCACGUCUAUUUAUGCAAGGGAGGAAUUCGAACACAAACAAAUCACAAAUAAUUAUUAAUUAAUUAUAAUAGGACUCUUAAUUAAUGCAUUCCAGCAUCUCCUUCUGCAACGUGUCUGGCGACGUGGUUUUGUCUUCGUCUGUGCUCCGCCUUUCAUUUCUUGGAUAUCUUCAUCAUAGGUAUUAGAGCCAAGUUAAGGUUAGGUAGAUGAUACAAGUCCUCUUCAAAAGGAUUUUGCUAUCUAGGUAUUAGAGCCUAGUAAUAUAAGGUAUAAUCUCACAUAAAAUUGUGGGUCUAAGUGGAACCUAAAAUUAAAUUUUUAUGAGACUGUAUCUUACAUUACACGCUUACUUUAAUAAUUGACACGUGUUAAUUAAUGCAUUCCAGCAUCUCCUACUGCAACGUGUCUGGCGACGUGGUUUUGUCUUCGUCUGUGCUCCGCCUUUCAUUUCUUGGAUGAGUUCUGCUAUUUGCCCCGGGUCAAAUCCCGGGUCAAACCCCGAAAGUAAUAAAACGAUGCCGUUUCAAUUUCAUUUUUUUUUUGUUUCAUCCCAGCUAAAACGGCGUCGUUUUAACUGGGUUAAGGCUGCGAAAGCAUCAGAUUUGUCACCAAGAAAUCAUUUGCAACAUUAAUUAACAAGGGUAAACAAAAACGAACUCCAGUUUAAAACAACAGAGACAUACAUUGUUCUUUUUUCAAAAUGAAGCAAUAAGAGUGCAGGCACCAGAAAAAAAGAAAAAAGAAAAAAAAGAGAAAUCCAAUUUCGUAAGAUUACAACAUACAAGCUCUUAGUUGCCUGCAUUUUCGUUCUUUCAUCUUCUACCAAUUAAUAACUACACAAUUGCCUUUGCUACUUUCAAAAUAAAAAUUAUAGCAAUAUUAAAUAAAAAAAAAACGAAGAAACAAGAGGGUAAAAAUAUACAAGCUGGAGCAAACAAAAAAUUUCUUGGGUGGCCGUGUUGUCUAAUGCGUCAUCAUAGGAAAGAAAAUGGCUGAGGAGGAGGUCGACGUGAGAGUAGAGGAGGGUUUGUGAAGAAGAUGAAGAAAGAGGUUUGUGAAUGAGAGAGAUGAGGGUUUUUUGCAGAGGGGUAAAACGAAGAGGAAGACAAAGCAGUUGGGUUUUCCUUGGUUUUAUCUUUUCUAAGCCAAACGGUGUCGUUUUAUAGAGAAUCAAAACAUAAAAAAGGCAUCGACAAAACGACGUCGUUUAGGGCAAUUUCGGGGUCUGACCCGGGGUUUGACUCGGGGCAAGUAGCAUUUUCCUUCUUGGAUAUCUUCAUCAUAGGUAUUAGAGCCAAGUUAACGUUAGGUAGAUGAUACAAGUCCUCUUCAAAAUAGCUCUGUGUCGCAAGUGGUUCCGGUACGUAGAUCCACGUCUUCUUUUGCAGCGUGGUUUGGCCUUUUCAGUUCUUCUCAUUCUUUGAUUUCUUCGAAUAGUUAUCUGCAUCGUGUUUACAGGUUAGGUAAGACUAAGGAUUGGGUUCGCACAGUUCUAAUAUUUUGAUUGGACCAUCCUGCAUCUAUCUCUUAUUUAGUUUAGCAUGACUUAUUUAACAUCAUAAAUAUUUAUUUAAUUUUAUAAUUUUUUAAAUAUUAAAUAAAUUAUUUUUUUAUUAGUAAAAUUUUAAAUUUUGAGUUUUUGAAAAUAGAUUGAAAAAUAUUUUUAAAAUAUUAAAAUGUUUAAAAUAUUAUUUAUUUAUUUAAUAAUUUUAUUUCAUUCAUUUUAUAACAUAAAUUUAAAAAAUUACCUAUUAAAAAAAUUUAUAAUUUCUUAAUAAAAACUCUUAUUGAUAGUCAAAUACCUUAAAGUUUUAGUAAAAGUUUGCUUGUAAAAGAUUUAUUAACAAAAGUUAUGCCUAAAUAAGUUUUAUUUGAAAAAUUAUAUCAAGGCUUGAUUUGGUACCAAAAGAAAAUUAUCAUACACUUAUAUUUUUAUAUUAUCAUUUAAAACUGAAGAGAAGAGUAAAGAAAGAUCAAACCAGAGUGACGAAAGGAAAAGUGAAGAAAGGUUAACAUAAAAUGAAAGAAAAGCCUCGGGCAUUAUACUAUGAUUUGGGAGAAUGAUGAGUUAUUUAGUUUUGGUGGGUGUAAAAGGAAAACGAAGCUUAAUAAUAUGAGCUUAAAACUCAAUUAAAAUGAGUUUAAUGAAGGGUAGUUUUAGCAUUUUAAAGUGCGAUCAUAGUUAAUUUUAAUUUUUGUAAUUUAUUGAAUAAACUAUUUGCAAUGAAUUAAGAAAAGUAAUCAAUAAUUAUAACAAUAAAAGUAAUGAUUACUGAAACGACCCACCUCGAACUUCAAGAGCAAAUCUAUCUAAUUUCUUUUAACGUGAUUAGUAAAACUUAUUAAUAAGGAUUUUACUAAAAUUUUCCAACAUGCAAAUCUGCAAAACAAACACUUUCAAAAUAAUUCAAUACACAACAAACUUCAUUGAUCAACCUUCUCAACCAUGAUAUUGAUUAUCACCUAAACACUUAUAAAGUAUCAAAAGAUUAUGUUAUAGCUAAUGUCAACAUAUAUUAAACAUUCAUAAUCAUCAAAUCAUAAUACAAUUAUACAAUCCAAAAUGAGAUGAUCUAAAUGCCCUAAUAAUAUCAUUUAUAUCUUUUAGCACCAUCACAUGGUCAAAAUUCAAAAAUACUACAGUCGUUGGGUCGAUUAAUAUAUCCACAACCUUCUGUGGGAGAAAAGUAUAGUAAAAUGGAAUGAAUAUAAAACUCAAUGAGUGAAUAAUAACUUUUGAAAAUAAUAUAUUUUAAAAUAAUUAUAUCUUUUCAAUAUACUAUUUUCAUCAAACUAUAAGUAAGAACAUAGAUGAAUUAUUCGAACUUUAAAUCAAACAACUGUUGUUUUAAUUUUAAAGUGCGAUCGUAGUAAAUUUUUAUUUUUUUUAAUUUAUUGAAUAAACUAUGUAUAAUCAAUUAAGAAAAAUAAUCAAUAACUAUAACAAUGAAAGUAUUGAUUACUGCAACGACCCACCUCAAACUUCGAGGGCAAGUCUAUCUAAUUUCUUCUAACGUGAUUAGUAAAACUUAUUAAUGAGGAUUUUGCUAAAAGUUCGUCGACAUAGUCCCCCCCUAUAUUUAUAAAAUUUCUAACAUGCAAAUCUAAACGCUCCCAAAAUAAUUCAAUACACAACUAACUUCAUUGAUCAACCUCCUCAACCAUAAUACUGAAUAUCACCUAAACACUUCUAAAUUAUCAAAAGAUUAUAUUAGAGCUAAUGUCAACAUACAUUAAACAUUCAUAAUCAUCAAAUCAUAAUACAAUUAUACAAUCCAAAAUGAGAUGAUCUAAAUGCACUAAUAAUAUCAUUUGUAUCUCCUAGCACCAUCACGUGGCCAAAAAAAAAAAAAACAAAUACUACAAUCACUGGGUCGAUUGGUGUACCGCAACCUUCUUUAGGGGGAAAGUAUAAAAAAAUGAAAUGAGUAAUUUGACAAGAGGAUUUUAAUUUCUUGUGAAAUCUGUGUUACUUUAAAUCAUUUUAUAGAAAUUAGGGAUGGCAAUGGGGAGUGGAGGGGAGAGGACCAAUCUCCCCGUAUCCAUCCCCGAUAUUUUACGUAUGUCUCCGUCUCCUCCUCAUCCCCAUCAUAAUUGCUUGAGAGAAUCUCAUUUUACUCCCCGAAUAAUAACACAGGGAUCCUCGAGGAUCCCCGAUUCCCGAAUAACUAAUACAUAUUUUUAUUUUUUAUUUUUAGUUAAUUAGAUUAAAAUAAAAAAUUCAAACAAAAGUAAAGUUCGAAAUAUAUUUUACAUUAACAUUGAUUCAUUAUAAAAGUCACAUGCAAAAUACAAAUUAUCAAAAUAAUUAUCUUUAUCAAUCUUCAUAAUCCUACAAUAAAAAGAAAAAGAAUUUACUUUUAUAUCGACAAUAAAAUAAAUGAAAUAAAUGUAGAUACUUAAUUAAUAUUUUUAAUAAAAAAAUUAAAAUUAAAACAAAAUUUUUGGGCUAAUAGAAUCUACUCGACCUUUUUAAUGUCCUAAAUAAAAAUUUACGACUUUAAUUAGUUAAUUAGGCCUAAAAGUUGAAUAAUAUAAAUAUUUUAAUAUUUUUUACUUUUACCAAUAUUUAUAAUUUUAUAAUAUAAUUCAAAUUUUAUUAUUUAUUUACUAGUAAUUUUAAAAAAAAUAAAAAUAAAAUUAAAAAUUAAAAUGGGGAAAUGGGGAGGGGAUGGGGAUUCCACCCCAUCCCCGCCCCUUCCCCGAAUAAGAAACUGGGUAAAAAAAUUUCUCCGUCCCUUCCCCGAAUAAGAAAUUGGGCAUAGAAUUAUCUACGUACCCUCCCCAAAUGGAAAAAAUCCCCGAGGGUACCCGUCCCCGUGGGGAUUUUUGCCAUCCCUAAAAUUCCAUUAGCUUUGUGUUGCAACUCUGCAACGGAAUGUCAAAUCGACAAUGAAAUUUCUUUGUCCAUUUUUCACGUGCACAACCAUAAAAAAGAAAAAAAAACAAUAUCACAAUUGUAUGUAUACGCUGGUGGGUCCAUUUUCAAAUUUGACAAGAGGAUUUUAAUUUCUUGUGGAAUUUGUGUUAUUUCAAAUCAUUUUAUAGAAAUUAAGGAUGGCAAUGGGGAGGGGAGGUGAGGGGACCAAUAUCCCCUUACCCAUCCUCGAUAUUUUACGUAUGUCCCCGUCCCGUCCCGUCCCCAUCCCCGUCAUAAUUGCUUGAGAGAAUCUCCAUCUCCUCCCCGAAUAAUAACAGGGGAUCCCCGAGAGUUCCCGAUUCUCUAAUAACUAAUAUAUAUAUAUAUAUAUAUAUAUAUAUAUAUAUAAUUUUUUAUUUUGAGUUAAUUAUAUUAAAAUAAAAAAUUCAAACAAAAGUAAAGUUCGAAAUAUAUUUUACAUUAGCAUUGAUCCAUUAUAAAAGUCACAUGCAAAAUACAAAUUAUCAAAAUAAUUAUCUUUGUCAAUCUUCAUAAUCCUACAAUAAAAAGAAAAAGAAUUUACUUGUAUAUCGACAAUAAAAUAAAUGAAAUAAAUGUAGAUACUUAAUUAAUAUUUUUAAUAAAACAAAAUUUUUGGACUAAUAGAAUCUACCUGACCUUUUUAAUGUCUUAAAUAAAAAUUUAAGACUUUAAUUAGUUAAUUAGGCCUAAAAGUUUAAUAAUAUAACUAUUUUAAUAUUUGUUACUUUUACCAAUAUUUAUAAUUUUAAAAUAUAAUUCAAAUUUUAUUAUUUAUUUACUAGUAAUUUUAAAAAAUAAAAAUAAAAUUAAAAAUUAAAAUGGGGAAAUGGGGAGGGGAUGGGCAUUCCACCUCAUCCCUGCCCCUUCCCCGAAUAAGAAACUAGGCAAAACAUUUUUUCCGUCCCUUCCCCGAAUAAGAAAUUGGGUAUAGAAUUAUCCCCGUACCCUCUCCGAAUGGGAAAAAUCCCCGAGGGUACCCGUCCCCGAAUGAGAAAUUGGGUGUAGAAUUUAUUCUACUUUUUCUCAUAAUUUCAUGAAGAGAAAGAAGUAUCAUAUUUGCUAUUGUUUUGUAGAGAAAAUUUUUUGAUUAAAAUAAUAUAUUUAUACUUUUAUUUAAAGAAUCUUUUAAUUUUUUUCCACUCUUUCAUUUACAAUAUAUAAGAGUAAAUAAAUAUUUAAAGAAUUAAAUUUAGAAGAAUAUUUUAGUGAUCCUCUUAGAUCUACUUAGUGUCUGUUUGGUAUAAUUUAUGUAAUGCUCAUAAGUAUUUAUUUAAUCUCAUAAAUUCUUAUCAUAAUUUUUGUUACUGUUUUUUUUAGAGAUUUUACAGUUUAAAUAAGUUAUUUUAUUUCUACUAAUAAAAUCUCAAAUUAGGAGUAGAGAUUGAAAUUUUUUUAAAUAUUAAAAUAUCUAAAAUAUUCUCUUCUUAUUUAAUAUUUUUUUCAUAACAUAACUUUAAAAACUUGUCUAUUAAAAUAAUUUCAUAAAUUUUUAAUAAAUUUUUUUAUUAACAAUCAACAACUAAAAUUUUUUAAGUAAAAAAAUUAUUUAUAAAAAUUUUAUUAUCAAAAACUCUAUUUACCAUACAUGUUCUCUUCGUGUAAAGCCUUUUGCAGCAAGAUGCGCCUUGUAUCUCUCCACAUUGCCUUUCGAAUCCCUCUUGGUUAUAAAUAUCCAUUUGUAACCAAUAGGUUUCGCAACUUCUAGUGAUGGGACAAAAUCUAUACUCAAUAUGCACCAUGAGCUUAAUAUUCCUUAUUAGUGCCAAUUAAAUCAUGAGGGGGGUUUCUACUCCUCAUGAAUCAUAUUUUAAUCAAUAUGGUGCUAAGGGCUUAUUGUGCUAAAUAGAAAUAACAUUGCACUGGGGAGCCGGUUAUACCAGUGCAGUAUCUAGACAAGAUUAUUACUAUCUAUCGACGAAAAGUCAAAACAUCCACAUAAAUCAAAGGGGAAGAGAAAGUAAAUUUACCAAAUAAAGCCCAAGGAACAUGUUGAGACUUCACAUUCAAUCCAAACUUGAAAGAAAAUUAACUACUCAUAAUCGAACUAGGGGUAAAAAUGAAAAUUUAUUAAAAUACGUAGAAAAUACAAGAUGAAGAAUGAAUUAUAGAAAAUGGAGCUAAAAAAUGAAUUCAGGGGUGUCAAAUUAGAGGGGAGCCCCCUAUUUAUAGAUAUAACGAGUAAAUCAUGACCGUUAGAUUAAAAUGAUUUGGACACUUAGGAUUGCGCCGCGUGACAAAUUCUGAUUGGAUAGAACACAUCAUCAGGGCUGUCAUUUCGUGUAUAUGCAUGUAUCGUACGCACGUUUUUCGAUCCACUAACAUAUUCCAGGUCACCGGUCAACUCCACAUAAUCCUUUUAGUCCAAUAAGAUCGUGACACAUCAUCAGUCAACGCCAACUCAUCAGUCAACGCCACAUAAGUAGUCAAGCCAUAUCAUACGUCCAAUCGAAUGCUGCCACAUCAUUGAUUAUUGCCAUAUCAUCGGUCCGUAUAUGUGAACAAUGUCGUGAAUAGUACCGUAAACAAUAUCGUAAAUGUGAACAGUGCCAUACAUGUGAACAUUGCCGUGCAUGUGAAUUGUGUUAUUUACCCUUUUAUACUCCUAAGGUUUUCGACUGUCAUGAGUUCAAAAUGUUAUCCAUUUUGCUGUCUGAUUUCUCGUUCCUUGUGAAAUGACCAUGAUGCUCCCUAAAAUAUAUAAAAUACUUAAUUAUAAUACAACACACAUAAUUAAAUCACAAGGGACUUAAAUACAUAAAAAUAGGGAUGUUAACAAGACUUGGAGUGUAAAAUGGCAAUUUUCUCCUUUAUAAAUAUACAAUUUCUAACACUCAACACACCCCCCAAUCAGCUUAUUGCUAGUUCCUAGCAAAUAAAGCGAAGACAAAAUUCAAACCCAAAAUGAUUUUUUUAAAACAAUCGUGUUUAUUCAAUCAGACUAAUGAUAACAAUCAAAUAAAAAUAUAAGCAUAAUCUCCAGCCUAAAGAAAUAUCAUCCCCACAUCAACUGUCCAUAUAAAUUAGUCCAGUAGACUUUAUCAUGGCUACAAUAAUCAAGCCACUUUCAAGAAUGACAUGUCAAACAAAAAAUCUCACCGGUAGUAGUGAUACUUUCACAAAGAAAUUAAACCUAAUAAAAAUAGUCAAUGCAAUGAAUGGUAAAUUGAAAGAAAAUAAUAAAGAAGUAAUACCACACACUCUCACCAAGAUGAAAGAAAUAUACCCACAGCUUAAAACUAACACGAUCUUAAGUCAAACAAAAUGCCAGUCAAACCAAUGUUCCGCACUUGUUUAAUCACCUACAAUUAUGCAUAUGAUUUAAGCACACAAUUUAUUCUAAAUCAAACAAAACUUAUUAAAAGUAAACUAAAAUGUAUGUUCAUUCAAAACAUUACUAAAAUGCAAUAAAAACAUGUCAUUUACUCUCUAAGUAAUCAUGAUUUAAGUCUAAAAGUGCUAUGAUAACUCACAUUUUAUAGAGUUAUCAGUUGGCCAACUCAACCAACUAUUGUGGAAUUUAAAAUUAGCUUACUGGCAAGAAGUAACUGGCAAACAAAUGAGUGGGGCCACAGUAAAAAAUGAGGAGGGAAAUAUUUUUCACUGAUAAUAAGAGACAUUAAUUUAGAUGACAUAUUGGUUGUAGAUCUAAAUAAGAUGUUAAUAAGUUAAUAGGUAAUUAACUAGAAGGUAGCUCACAAAUGAGGGGAACAUAAAGGAAUCACGAUAAUGGUGGCUAGUACAAGCCAAAGAAAAAGUUUAAAGGGAAUUGCUACAACUGAGGAAAGACAAACCAUAUGGUGAAUAUUACUGGUCUAUGAAAAAGUUUAAAGAGAGUAAUGCAGCCACUUCCAAUCAAAAGAAGGAUAAUGACGAGGAAUGGGAAGCCGAAGCAUCAAUCACUAUUGAGGAAAAGAAACGGGCCUCACAGUCACAAUACCUAGCCAACUUAACUACGAGAGUAAUUGGAUCGUUGAUCUAGGAUGUUUAUAUCACAUGAUUAGUGAUAGAAAGAAGCUACAAGACAUGACUAAAUACAAAGAAGGUCGUGUGGUAGUAAUAGUAAAUAACUUGUAACUGCCAAUAGCUCACGUUGGCACUAUAGUUCUGACAUUUCAAUAUAGUUCAUUAUAAAAUAUCACUUUAAGACGUGCAUUAUGUUCUAAAUAUGAAGAAAACCCUACUUUCAAUAUCAUAACUAACAUCAUUAAGCAACUAUGUUUUGUUCAGUCUUCAAGAUGUUAAAGUGUAUCAAGAUGUAAAAAUCUCAGGGACACUUACAAUAGCAAAACAAAGGUUUGAGUUAAUUCAUUUAUUAUCAGUAGAGUUUGCUUAUAUAGACAAGACUCGAAAGAACGAGACAAUAGAUUUAUUACAUGCUCGGUUGGGACAUGUUAGCUACAACAAGUUGAAAGUGAUUAUGAACAAGUCAAUGCUCAGAGGUCUGCCUAAACUUAAUGUGCGAAUAAACAAGGUGUUUAUAGAGUCUCAAUAUGGUAAAGCUCACCAACUCUCAUAUGAGGAGUCGAAGUUUAGAGUAAAAGAGCCAUUGAAGUUGGUAAACUCUAACGAGUUUGGUCCUAUUAAUCAACCUUCUAUUAGUGGCAUACGAUGCAUGGUCACAUUUAUCAAUGACUUCUCUGGGUAUGUCUGAUUCUUCUUACGAAAAGAAAUUUGCUACUUUUUUAAUAUUUAAAGUAUUCAGAUAGCCCAAGCAAAAUUAAAAAGCAGGUUUGUUGUCUACAAAUAGACAAUGUAGAAGAGUAUACAUUACAUGAGUUCUCUUAGUACAUAUCUUCGAGAUUAUAAGAUACGCCAUCAGUUCACUUGUGCCAAUAUACCAUAACAGAAUAGCGUAGCAGAACAAAAAAAUCGAUAUCUAGCGAAGAUCUAUUGAAGUAUGAUACAUCCAAAGAAUGUACUAGAGAGGUUUUGGGUCGAAGCUAUGAAGAUAGCAACUCAUGUGAUUAAUAGAGUUUCUCAACUGAAAUUGGGGGUCAUAUCACUUUACGAGAAGCUAUGAAAUGUGACACCUACAGUCAUGAACUUUUGUGUAUUUGGUUGUGUAUGCUAUGUCUUUGUGCACACAUGAAGGUAAAGAUUUACAAUAUAGAACAAUGUAUCAACAAUUGGUAGGUAGUUUAAUCUACCUAAUGCUGAAUCAACCGAAUAUUUCAUAUGUCAUAGGUGUCAUGAGUUGGUAAAUGCAAAAUCCAAAGAAGCUUCACUUGGAAGUAGUUCUGCGAAUACUAAGAUAUGUGAAGAGUACAAACAACUAUGGUUCAUUGUGCAAGAAAGUUGAAAUUACAAGCUGACUAGCUAUUGUGACGCUGACUACGCCGGAGAUCAUGAUACAAAAAGAUUAACUACUAGGUAUGUUUUCAGAAUUAGGUCUGGAGUAGUUUUUUAGUGUAGUAAGAGACAACCAACUGUAUCACUAUCAACCACAGAGGCAGAGUAUAAAACAAUAGUGAUGACAGCUAAAAAAAACACUUGGUUGAUGUAGUUGAUCAAGGAUCUACACCAACUAGUAGAUUAUGUAUGCAAUACCAUUGUAUUACGAUAGUCAAUCGAUAAUCAACUUGGUAGAAAAUCUAGUUUUCCAUGCAAGAACUAAGCAUGUAGAGGUCCAUUAUCACUUCAUCAGGGAAAAGGUCUUACAAGAUAAAGUUGAGAUGCAGUACGUCAAGACAAACAAUUAACUAACGGAUUUUUUUUUUAUAAAAAAGUCUUUGUACCAUGAAGUUUAAAAAGUUUCGUUAGCAGCUUAAUAUGGAUCGAAGGAUGAAACUUGGUUUUGAGGGGGAGUGUUAAAAGUGCAACACCAAUUUUAUGAUCCAAUUAAAUAACAUUUGUCCAAACCCAAGUUCAAAGCUCAAUCCAUAGAAGACUUAAGAAUUGUGUAGAGAACAUGGGACAUUUCUAAUCUAAAAAUAUUUAAUGAUGAUGAAAAUAUCUUAUUUUAGAAAUCUCUUGAACAGUGGUAUUUAUAAAAUGUGAUUGUUAAAUUUUUAUAAUUUAAUGUUUUGUGUGGUUUGUAUUAGUUUUAGGAUACUAUAAAUACUGUUAAACUCUUUGUUGUAGGCAUCAAGAGAGGAGUGAAGAAUUAGUAGGAAGAAAAAGUAUUGUAGUAUUUUUCUUAUAAAAUAUCAAUAAAAUCCUUUAAUUUAGUAAAAUUCUUCUAUUUCUUAAAUAUUUUCAGUCUUAAGCAGCUUCGUCCUUCUUUCUCAACAAAAGCAUUCCAUUUAGUAUAUGAAAAGAAAGUUGUGAGCUUGUGAAGAGAGAAUAAUUAGAAUAUCUUUUGCAAUUGUUAUUUUCCCAAUUUUAAGUAACAGAGUUGCUUUCUCCUAGUAUAAGAGAGAUUGUAAUUGUUCUAUCCUUGUAUUCAAAGAAAAUUGUUAUAAUCCUCAUUUGAAUAGUGAAUUCUUUCUACUUUUGUUGUGGAUUUUUAACCCGGUUUAUUUGGAAUUUUUUCCACUUAAAAUUUUUGUGUCCCAUAUAUCUUCAUUUGUUCUUAAUAUCACUUUGGUUACGGUCUGAUACGGUCCUUAAUUUCCUAAUAGAAAACAACUGAAACCAUCCAAUAACGAGAGUGAUCUCUGAAAGCUCCAUUGCAGAACAUGGAUAACCGCUGCUUAGGCCAUCUGUAUUAACUUUUACCCAGCCAUGCACUAUCGGGCAAAUUUUAUCAAAAUAUUGAAAAUGAGAGGUAUAACCAGCUUGUAUUAGAUGAAAGGAGGAUGGGGUGUUUUCAUAUCGUAGCUCUGUCACGGCAUCGAUGUGAAGAAGAUGAGUUGGUCAUGUCUAAUUAACAAAAAAAAAAAAAAAAUCCUUUCUGCUAAUCCCAAUUUCAAAGCUUUCUUGUGUCGGACUUUAAUUCUAACUUUGUGAUAUCACACUUUCAAUGGUUAUUUUACCUUUAUAUUCACUAUUGACUGAUAGGGGUGAAAUGAAUAAUUAAAACUCUAUUAUGGAUAUAAAUAACAAAAAAAAAAUUUAUGUGUCGCGGAACUGGUACUCAUAUGAAAAUAACAUUUGACAAUAUCGAACCAUUGGAGCACUAAAUAAAUUAUAGCAUUAUAUAAAAGGGGAUUUGAAUACAUGCUCAUGUUAUGCCCUACGGACUUUCUUUUGUAUUUGUUGGCAAAAAUUUGCAGAUCGUAGAUAUUUGCCCCUAAGGUAACAAAACUGCAAAAGCAUUUCGUGGGUAACAAGUACUCGGGCUUUUAUCUAGAAUAUCUUUACUCGUCAAUACCAAUAAAUCACUUAGAUUUUAUGGGCUACGGAUGGAAAUUGUUAAAUUCAUUAUUUGUAGAGUUUGCAUUUUAUGGCAAGUCUAGUUAAAUUAGAAUUUUAUUUAUUGUAUAUCUUGUAAUAGUGAUUAAUUUAUUAAUUUCCUAAUUUAAUGAGAUUUCAAUUUAUUAAGAAUAUUUAUUUCCUAAUUUAAUUAGAUGGCUAACUUAACAAGUCAAUUAAUGAUGUGAUUCUAUAAUUGGCGCAUGAGCUCUAUUUAGAGUAAUAAGUCGGUUUAAACAAGAAGUUUAUUAAAUGCUUUAAAUAUUUCUAGGGAGACAAGCAAUGUAAGAAAAUUAGAUUUAAUCCUAUUCAGAUUCAUAGGAAUUAUAAAAGAAAAUAAACUCUUAUUUGGAAAGAAUCAAAAUCUUUUAAGAGUUACUACUUUUGUGAAACUCCAGUGCCUAUAUAAAGAGAGGUAUUUCACAAUUGAAGGUGCAUAACACUGAGCACAAAGUAGGGAAGCAAAAUUCGGCCUUCUCCCUAAAGAAUCCUAAUUUGGCAAAUAAUAUUGUGUUGAUUUAUUUACUUAUCUUCUUUUCAUAUUUGUGUAGAGUCUAUGUGAAUCUUGGAUCACUAGACAUUAAAAAAUUGAAGAAUUGCUAUUGAUCACUUUGCGAAGUGCAUUAAGUAUCGUGGAUCAAGAGGGGUAACAAUUAUUUAAGAGAAGCAAAUUCAGUCUGUAUAGUGAUAAACUGUAAGUGAGAGUUUUAAGUUUGAUAAAUCUAUGGUUGUAACAUUUCAACUUAGUGAAUUGCUUUUCAUCUGAGCGUGACCUCGUGGAUGUAGAAUUAAUUAAUCCGAAUCAUGUAAAAAUCUAUGUACCAUUUAAUUUCUGUAAUUUAUUGUGUUUUUGAAAAAUUAAUAUUUUGAUGCGGAUAAACAAUAAGCGUAAACAUUAACUAUAAACAAUAAGCAUAAACAAUAAUGAUGAAUAGUGGUAAACAAUAUUUCCGAAAGUUAAUUAAGUUGUUAAUUUUAAAUUUUUAAUUACCUACAUCUAAAUUGCCUACAUCUAGUGCAAUUUUGAAAGGUAUUAAAUUGGCAGAGGACUUGGGGUUUCUUCCGCUACUGAUAGAGUCCGAUUCAGUUAAUGUCAUUAGUCUCAUCUCAGGAAAAAUUAACAGCGAAUUAGAGAUUGAUUGGCUAAUAUCUGAUAUUAAAAGUUUUAUUUUUAAGAAAAGUGCGUUUGCUAUAAGACACAUUCCCAAAUCCGGUAAUUCAGCAGCUCACAAAGCUGCAAAAAUGGCUCUUGAUCAUGCUGAGUUGCGCACAUGGUUACAGGAUGCGCCUCCUGACAUUAUACCUCUCUUGUAGUGUUAUGGUGUAAUCAAUGAAAAUUUUAUUGUAAAAAAAAAAUCCUUUCAGAAAUUAAUAUAUACUCUUUUUUUUUUUGAUACAUUGGAGCCGAACGGAGAAUAAAGAUCCCAUAUAUAUCAUUACAUAACCAAUAACCAAGACCCUCGGGGGAAGAAAUUAAUAUAUACUCUUUUAAUGUGGAAAAUCCCUUCGGAAUUAGUUCGAUAAAUACAAUAUUCAUCCAGUUACCGCAGGCUAAUAAUGCUCAUCCUGGAUAACUCAUGUCGCUUUUUACAUAUGCUGUAAUCUAAUUGGUGUGAUUAUCUUUGUAGCCCUACCUUGUCACUUGGCCAGAAUCGAGGUUAUAUAUAUGGCCAUGCAAUUAUACAUGAAAAAAGAAUAUCUUUCCAGUAGUUCAUUUGCCCUUUCAUAUAGAGCAUACUAAGGAUAUAUAUAUCGGAAACCUGAGAAAACUAAUGAGAUAUUUGAAGGUUAAAGGGGAAGCCGGCUCCGUUAUUAAAAGCAAACUUCAUUAUUUAUUUAUAGACUAGAGUCAAGGAGCUUCACCCGUUACACACUUGAAUCCUUUUUCUAGGCACCAUAAAGGAUCCCAACAAUUAUACAUUACAAGUCAUUGCCUUUAUUUAUAGACCAGACACAAGGCGCUCUGCCCAUACAACAUACUUGGAACAUUUUUAAAGGCACACUAAAAGACCAUCCACAACAAAACAUUGAUUCGAUCAUUACACUGGAGGUCGCCUUUUCAUCGGAAAUUGAGAUUUACCUUACCAAGAGGUAAUAUCAACGUUACACAAAACAUGAAAUAUAACCAUGUCUAACCUUAUAUCUAGAUUAGAUUACACAGUACACACCAGCUUAAUUAUCUUACAGUAGUAUUCAAUUGGAAUACAAACGCCAAUACACUUUACCAUCGAAAGUAUGAUCAGAAUCCAGAACAUUUCCAUGAGGUACCUCUAUAAGAUUAAUCUGCAAAACAAGAGAACCUCCUUCCUGCACAUGACGAUCUUUAUACAGUUCAUCUAAUUGAACCAUAGUUCUAAGGCCAUGAAUAGGACGCUUUUUAUCAAUAGGCCUAUAACCAUUAGUAUAACCAGAUGCAACAACAUCAAAAGAUGCUUCAGCAUCAAUAUUAUUGGCGGCUGCAGGAGGCAGAUCUCCUCUCCAAGCAUCCUCGUUAGCUCUGGGAACAAAUAGGACGGCCCAAGAAACAAUAGGAGCCCAACUUCGACCAAACAAACCAAAAUCCAUCCUAUUCAAGUUCUUCAAAACACCAGGAUCUGCAUAACGCAGAAAAAAGUAGUCUGAUUUAAAACCUAUCAAUUUUCGCUGAUCACACGCCAUAUCUUAUUAAUGAAAAAUAAGCGCUCAGAAUCAGAUCACUUGCCUCAGAAAUUAUUUUCGUUGCUCUGUCACUCUUUUUUCUGCUGCCGUCCAAAGACAUUUUCACGUCUAUUUAUGCAAGGGAGGAAUUCGAACACAAACAAAUCACAAAUAAUUAUUAAUUAAUUAUAAUAGGACUCUUAAUUAAUGCAUUCCAGCAUCUCCUUCUGCAACGUGUCUGGCGACGUGGUUUUGUCUUCGUCUGUGCUCCGCCUUUCAUUUCUUUGGAUAUCUUCGUCAUAGGUAUUAGAGCCUAGAUAAGGUUAGGUAGAUGAUACAGAGUCCUCUUCAAAAGGAUUUUGUUACCUUAUAUGUAAUAUAUGUAACGUAAGGUUGGUUUUAGAGCUCAAUAAAAAAUUAGAUAAAAAAAAUUGGAUAAAAAAUUAGGUAAAAAAAUUAGAUAAAAAAUUUUUUUUUUCUUCAAAUAAAAAAUUGGAUAAAAAAAUUUUCUCAUUCCUUCACUGAAUAAAAAAUUAAGUUUAAAAUUAUCCAUGUAUUCUCUCCGAAUGAAAAAAAUUUCCAAAAAUAUCCGUUCUCGUGGGAAUUUUUGUCAUCCCUAAAAUUCCAUUGGCUUCGUGUUGCAACUCAGCAACAGAAUCGACAAUGAAAUUUCUUUAUCCAUUUUUCACGUGCACAGCCAUAAUAAAGAAAAAAAAAUAUCACAAUUGUGUGUAUAUGCUGGUGGGUCCCUUUUCAAAUUUGACAAGAGGAUUUUAAUUUCUUGUGGAAUUUGUGUUACUUCAAAUCAUUUUAUAGAAAAUAAUUUCAUUGGCUUCGUAUUGCAAUUCUGCAACAGAAUGUCAAAUCGACAAUGAAAUUUCUUUGUCCAUUUUUCACGUGCACAACCAUAAAAAAAAUAUAUAUAUAUCACAAUUGUAUGUAUAUGCUGGUGGGUCCCUUUUCAAAUUUGACUAGAGGAUUUUAAUUUCUUGUGGAGUUUGUAUUACUUUAAAUCAUUUUAUAGAAAUUAGGGAUGGCAAUGGGGAGAGGAGAGGAGGGGAGGGGACCAAUCUCCAUGUAUCUAUCCCCGAUAUAUUGCGUAUGUUCUCGUCCCCUCCCCAUCCCCGUCAUAAUUACUUGAGAGAAUCUCCUUUUCCUCUCCGAAUAAUAACAGGGGAUCUCUAAGGGUCUCCGAUCCCUGAAUAACUAAUAUAUAUUUUUUAUUUUGAGUUAAUUAUAUUAAAAUAAAAAAUCCAAACAAAAGUAAAGUUCGAAAUAUAUUUUACAUUAACAUUGAUCCAUUAUAAAAGUCACAUGCAAAAUAUAAAUUAUCAAAAUAAUUAUCUUUGUCAAUCUUCAUAAUCUUACAAUAAAAAGAAAAAGAAUUUACUUUUAUAUCGACAAUAAAAUAAAUGAAAUAAAUGUAGAUACUUAAUUAAUAUUUUUAAUAAAACAAAAUUAAAAUUAAAACAAAAUUUUUGGGCUAAUAGAAUCUACCCGACCUUUUUAAUGUCCUAAAUAAAAAUUUAAAACUUUAAUUAGUUAAUUAGGCCUAAAAGUUUAAUAAUAUAAAUAUUUUAAUAUUUGUUACUUUUACCAAUAUUUAUAAUUUUAUAAUAUAAUUCAAAAUUUAUUAUUUAUUUACUAGUAAUUUUAAAAAAUAAAAAUAAAAUUAAAAAUUAAAAUAGGAAAAUGGGGAGGAGAUGGUGAUUCCACCUCAUCCCCGCCCCUUUCGCAAAUAAGAAACUAGGUAAAAAAAAUUUUCGGUCCCUUCCCCGAAUAAGAAAUUGGGUAUAAAAUUAUUCGCGUACCCUCCCAGAAUGGGAAAAAUCCUCAAGGGUACCCGUCCCCGAAUGAAAAAUUGGGUAUAAAAUUUAUUCUACUUUUUCUCAUAAUUUCAUGAAGAGAAAGAAGUAUCAUAUUUGCUAUUGUUUUUGUAGAGAAAUUUUUUUUAUUAAAAUAAUAUAUUUAUACUUUUUUUUAAAGAAUCUUUUAAUUUUUUUCCACUCUUUCAUUUACAAUAUAUAAAAGUAAAUAAAUAUUUAAAGAAUUAAAUUUAGAAGAAUAUUUUAGUGAUCCUCUUAGAUCUACUUAGUGUCUGUUUAGUAUAAUUUAUGUAAUGCUCAUAAGAAUUUAUUUAAUCUCAUAAAAUCUUAUCAUAAUUUUUGUUACUGUUUAUUUUUUUUUAGAGAUUUUACAGUUUAAAUAAAUUAUUUUAUUUCUACUAAUAAAAUCUCAAAUUAAGAGUAGAGAUUGAAAUUUUUUUAAAUAUUUAAAUAUUUAAAAUAUUCUCUACUUAUUUAAUAUUUUUUUCAUAACAUAAUUUUAAAAAUUUAUCUAUUAAAAUAAUUUCAUAAAUUUUUAAUAUAAUUUUUUAUUAACAAUCAACAAUUAAAAUUUUUUAAAUAAAAAAUUUAUUUAUAAAAAUUUUAUUAUCAAAAACUUUAUUUAAAUAAAUUUUAUUUAAAAAAUUAUAUUAAACGGAGCCUUACCCUCCUGAAUCGCGAUACCAUAACUGAUACCAUAACUAUUUUGAAGAAAUGGAAGAAUGGAAAGAAUUGAAAAGACAAAAUCGCGUUGUAAAAGAGGACGUGGAUCAACGUACUGAGGCCACUAAUGACAAAUAGCUACACAUUUUGAAGUAGACUCCCAGCGUCUACCAAACCUAAACAGGUACAGAGACCUUUUGUUUUGUUUUUGACAAUAUGUGCAGAUACGUACGAAUGCAUUAAUUAAUGAAAAGCAGAGGGUAGAAGAAAACAAAGCUAAGUCGCCAGACACGUUGCAGAAGGGAUUCUGGAAUGCAUGAAUUAAGGGGUCUUAAGUAUUCAAUAGUGACUUCUUUUUUGUGUUUUUCCAUAAGAAGAUGCCGGAAUGCAUUAAUUAAGAGGCCCACUGUGAUUAAUUCAUAACUACCAGUAAUUUGUUUUUUUUUUACAAUAGGUACAGUUACGUAUGACUGAAGAAAUAAAAAAAAAAUGAAAAGCAGAGGGUAGAAGAAAACAAAGCUAAUUCCAUUGGCUUCGUGUUGCAGCUCUGUAACAGAUUGUCAAAUCGAUAAUGAAAUUUCUUUCUCCAUUUUUCACGUGCACAGCCAUAAAAAAAGAAAAAAAAAUCACAAUUGUAUGUAUAUGCUAAUGGGUCCCUUUUCGAAUUUGACAAGAGGAUUUUAAUUUCUUGUGGAAUUUAUGUUACUUCAAAUUAUUUUAUUAAAAUUAGGAAUGGCAAUGGAGAGCGGAGAGGAGGGGAUCAAUUUCUUUGUAUAUAUUCUCGAUAUUUUGCGUAUGUCCCCGUCUCCUUUCUAUUUCCGUCAUAAUUACUUGAGAGAAUUUUCUUUUCCUCCCCGAAUAAUAACAGGGAAUCUCUGAGGAUCCUUGAUCCCCAAAUAACUAAUACAUAUUUUUUUUAUUUUUAAUUUUGAGUUAAUUACAUUAAAAUAAAAAAUUCAAACAAAAGUAAAGUUCGAAAUAUAUUUUACAUUAACAUUGAUCCAUUAUAAAAGUCUCAUGCAAAAUACAAAUUAUCAAAAUAAUUAUCUUUGUCAAUCUUCAUAAUCCUACAAUAAAAAAAAAGAAUUUACUUUUAUAUCGACAAUAAAAUAAAUAAAAUAAAUGUAGAUACUUAAUUAAUAUUUUUAAUAAAACAAAAUUUUUGGGCUAAUAGAAUCUACCCGACCUUUUUAAUGUCCUAAAUAAAAAUUUAAAACUUUAAUUAAUUAAUUAGACCUAAAAGUUUAAUAAUAUAAAUAUUUUAAUAUUUGUUACUUUUACCAAUAUUUAUAAUUUUAUAAUAUAAUUCAAAAUUUAUUAUUUAUUUACUAGUAAUUUUAAAAAAUAAAAAUUAAAUUAAAAAUUAAAAUAGGGAAAUGGGGAGGGGAUGGGGAUUCCACCUCAUCCCCGCCCCUUCCCCAAAUAAGAAAUUAGAUAAAAACAAUUUCUCCGUUCCUUUCCCAAAUAAAAAAUUGGGUAUAAAAUUAUCCCCGUAUCCUCCCUGAAUGGAAAAAAUCUCUAAAAGUACCCAUCCCUAUGGGGAUUUUUGCCAUCCCUAAAAUUCCAUUGGCUUCGUGUUGCAACUCUGCAACAGAUUGUCAAAUCGACAAUGAAAUUUCUUUGUCCAUUUUUCACAUGCACAGCCAUAAAAAAGAAAAAAAAAUAUCACAAUUGUAUGUAUAUGCUGGUGGGUCCCUUUUCAAAUUUGACAAGAGGAUUUUAAUUUCUUGUGGAAUUUGUGUUACUUCAAAUCAUUUUAUAAAAAUUAGGGAUGGCAAUGGGGUGGGGAGGGGAGGGGAGGGGAGGGGAGGAGACCAAUCUCCAUGUAUCCAUUCCUGAUAUAUUGCGUAUGUCCUCGUCCCCUCCCCAUCCCCGUCAUAAUUACUUGAGAGAAUCUCAUUCUCCUCUCCGAAUAAUAACAAGGGAUCCCUAAGGGUCUCCGAUCCCCGAAUAACUAAUAUAUUUUCUUUUAUUUUGAGUUAAUUAUAUUAAAAUAAAAAAUUCAAACAAAAGUAAAGUUCGAAAUAUAUUUUACAUUAACAUUGAUCCAUUAUAAAAGUCACAUGCAAAAUAUAAAUUAUCAAAAUAAUUAUCUUUGUCAAUCUUCAUAAUCUUACAAUAAAAAGAAAAAGAAUUUACUUUUAUAUCGACAAUAAAAUAAAUGAAAUAAAUGUAGAUACUUAAUUAAUAUUUUUAAUAAAACAAAAUUAAAAUUAAAACAAAAUUUUUGGGCUAAUAGAAUCUACCCGACCUAUUUAAUGUCCUAAAUAAAAAUUUAAAACUUUAAUUAGUUAAUUAAGCCUAAAAGUUUAAUAAUAUAAAUAUUUUAAUAUUUGUUACUUUUACCAAUAUUUAUAAUUUUAUAAUAUAAUUCAAAAUUUAUUAUUUAUUUACUAGUAAUUUUAAAAAAUAAAAAUAAAAUUAAAAAUUAAAAUAGGGAAAUGGGGAGGGGAUGGGGAUUCCACCCCAUCCCCGCCCCUUUCCCAAAUAAGAAACUGGGUAAAAAAAAUUUCCCGUCUCUUCCCCGAAUAAGAAAUUGGGUAUAGAAUUAUUCUCGUACCCUCCCCGAAUGGGAAAAAUCCCCAAGCGUACCCGUCCCCGAAUGAAAAAUUGGGUAUAAAAUUUAUUCUACUUUUUCUCAUAAUUUCAUGAAGAGAAAGAAGUAUCAUAUUUGCUAUUGUUUUUGUAGAGAAAAUUUUUUGAUUAAAAUAAUAUAUUUAUACUUUUUUUAAAAGAAUUUUUUAAUUUUUUUUCCACUCUUUCAUUUACAAUAUAUAAAAGUAAAUAAAUAUUUAAAGAAUUAAAUUUAGAAGAAUAUUUUAGUGAUCCUCUUAGAUCUACUUAGUGUCUGUUUGGUAUAAUUUAUGUAAUGCUCAUAAGUAUUUAUUUAAUCUCAUAAAAUCUUAUUAUAAUUUUUGUUAUUGUUUAUUUUUUUUUAGAGAUUUUACAGUUUAAAUAAGUUAUUUUAUAUCUACUAAUAAAAUCUCAAAUUAGGAGUAGAGAUUGAAAUUUUUUUAAAUAUUAAAAUAUCUAAAAUAUUCUCUACUUAUUUAAUAUUUUUUUCAUAACAUAACUUUAAAAACUUAUCUAUUAAAAUAAUUUCAUAAAUUUUUAAUAAAAAUUUUUAUUAACAAUCAACAACUAAAAUUUUUUAAAUAAAAAAUUUAUUUAUAAAAAUUUUAUUAUCAAAAACUCUAUUUAAAUAAAUUUUAUUUAAAAAAUUAUAUUAAACCGAGCCUUACCCUCGCGAAUGGCGAUACCAUAACUAUUUUGAAGAAAUGGAAGAAUGGAAAGAAUUGAAAAGGCAAAACCGCGUUGUAAAAGAGGACGUGGAUCAACUUACCGAGGCCACUAAUGACAAAUAGCUACACAUUUUGAAGUAGACUCCCAGCGUCUACCAAACCUAAACAGGUACAGAGACCUUUUGUUUUGUUUUUGACAAUAUGUGCAGAUACGUACGAAUGCAUUAAUUAAUGAAAAGCAGAGGGUAGAAGAAAACAAAGCUACGUCGCCAGACACGUUGCAGAAGGGAUUCUGGAAUGCAUUAAUUAAGGGGUCUUAAGUAUUCAAUAGUGACUUCUUUUUUGUGUUUUUCCAUAAGAAGAUGCUGGAAUGCAUUAAUUAAGAGGCCCACUGUGAUUAAUUCAUAACUACUAGUAAUUUGUUUGUAUUCGAGUUGCUCCUUUGUAUAACUAGGCGUGAAAAUGAGUAUUUGGUGGGGUGGUGGAGUCGAGGGUGCUAAGAGCAACAAAACUAAAUUCUGAAGCAAUUGUUCUGACUCUUGAGUGCUUAUAUUUAUUUCAUUAAUCUCGGAAGAUAUGGCGUCUCAUAAGGUGCCUGGUAAUCGCAAAUUGAUAGGUGCCAAAUCAGAAUACUAUUUUAUGCUUUAUGCAGGUACUGAAGAAGUGAAGAGCUACGACCGGAUUGAUUUUGGUAUGUUUGGUCGGAGUUGGGCUCCCAUUGUUUCUUGGGCCGUGAUAGUGGUUCCCCACGAGCCGGAGAGUAAUUGGAGAAAAAAUUUACCUCCUCCAAGUGUCAAUAAUAUGGACCCCGCUAGCUCGCUUUGUGUCAUUGCAUCUGGUUCUUCUAAUGGUUAUAAGCCUAUAGGUGAUGAUAAACAUGAUCGUCCUUUUCAUGGCGUUAGAACUACAGUUCGAUUGAACAAAUUGAAAUAUGAUCGUGAAGUGUUGCGCGGAGGUUCUCUUGUUUUGGAGAUUAAUCUUCUAGAGGUUUUUUCCGGAGGAGAUGUUGUGGAUUCUGAUCAUACUUUUGAUGGUCAAGUGUUCUGGAACUUGUACUCGAAUUGAAUAUUGUACGGUGAGAUAAGUUGAUGUGUGUAUUAAUGGUAUUAUCUAAUAUAAACAUAGGAUUGGACAUAUAGUUGUGUCAAUGUAUUGUGUAAUUUAACUACCUCUAGAUAAUAUUAUCGUUUGUGUAAUGAUUGUAAUUGAUGUUUUGUUGGAGGAUCCUUUAGUAUGCUUAUAAAAAGGAUUCAAGUGUGUUGUAACGAGCAGAGCUCUUCUAAGUCUAGUCCAUAAAUAAAUAAAAGAGUUGACUAUAAUGUAAUAUUGUGGGGUCUUCUACUGUGUCUAUAAAAAGGAUCCAAGUGUGUUGUAAUAUGAGUAGAGAUUCAUGAAUUUAGUCUAUAAAUAAAUUAAACAAGUGGUUUAUAUAGUUCUUUUAUGAACAUGUAUGGUCUCAUUUCCUUCAUAAAGCAAUGUAUAGACGUAGAGAUUCAUGAAUUUAGUCUAUAAAUAAAUUAAACAAGUGUUUUAUAUAGUCCUUUUAUGAACAUGUAUGGUCUCAUUUCCUUCAUAAAGCAAUGUAUAGCCGUUGUGACAAAAUCUUAUUACUCAAGUUUACUCAUGAAUCCUUGAAUUUAGUGUAUAAAAAAAAUUAAACAAGUGUUUUAUAUAGUCCUUUUAUGAACAUGUAUGGUCUCAUUUCCUUCAAAAAGCAAUGUAUAGCCGUUGUGACAAAAUCUUAUUACUCAAGUUUACUCAUGAAUCCUUUACACAAAUGUAUAGCGGUUGUGACAAAACCUUAUUACUCAAGUUUACUCAUGAAUCCUUUACACAAAUGUUACAAAUGUAUAAUAACAAAAUUGAAAAGUCAUUUUCACACGUUACAAAUAUAUACUAACAAAACUGAAAUAACAUUAUUACAAGUUAGAACAAUAUGUAAUAACAAAAAAUAAAUAAAUAAACUCGAGGCUUGUAAAGUUAAUAGUUUAUUUAAAACAAAUUCGCAUCUUUUCAAUGGUGCUUAAUUUAUAUCAAUCUCUGUCUUUCAAGAUGCAACGGAUUCGAAUAGUCUCAUGAGCACAAUCAUACUAUUCUAUCAAAUUUGAAACUAGUGUUUGAACUAAAAUCAGAGAAAAUUUGUUUCAGAUAGAAGAAGGAAAUGUCACUUCAAUUUUGUGUGUUUUGCAAAUAAAAUUAGAAACCAAUUUAUAGAAUUUUUGGAGGACAUUUUGGUAUAGAAAAAUUAGGCAGUAACUAUUGAAUUUAAUACUUAAAUAAAAUCUAUAACAAAAGCAUUUGUUUACCUUCAAUCACUUGUAAUAUAAAGCCAAAUUUUUCCUUCAAAAUUAGCCAUAUACAUCACUUAACAGCCCUUUAAUCUCUUGCUAUUAAGAUCAAUAUCAAUAUCAAAUAUUGAUAUUGCUUUUACCCUUUACAGUUUUAGUUUUAAUUCAAUGCAAUUAUAGUGCAAUAAAAAGAAAAUUAAAGGAUAAAAAACACCUUUAAUCUUUUCCAAACCAAUGGGUGAUAAGCACUAAUUUGAAUUUUCUAUUAUUCGUCCUAAAGAUCUCACGAAGGAGAUUCUGAAUCAUUCAUGCAAGAAUAUUUCCUCAAUAGACAUCUAACUCAAAAUUAGCCUUCAAAUAAUUGAAUGCUUAUUUAAUUCCUAUAUUUUAACUUAAAUAUCCGUUUAGUCUCAUAUUAUAAAAUAUAUCUCAAAAUACCCAUGUAUAUUUUGGUUUUAUGAUAAUACCCUUCAAAUAAUAUUCUUGACAUGAAUUAAUUAUCUAUAAAAUAUUAAUUAGCAUCUUAACCAAUAAUUAAUUAUUAGCAAAUUAAUUAACAAAUAUCAGGAGUGAAAGAACUAAUAUUUCCUGUACCCUUGCAACAAUCUUACUAAUAAUUAUUUAUAAAUAAAUUAAUAUUAGCCAACUUAAAAAUGAACAUUUUAAGUAAAAUAAUGAUAUAAAAUGUUUAUUAAUAUCUUUACAACAAUAUUAAUAAUAAUUGUUUAAUAAAAAUUAAUUUACUAAAUUAAUUCUAAAGUAAAAUAAUAAUAUAAAAAUUUGGGUAAAUUUUUAUGUUACUUUUAAGAUAAAUUUUGAUAAAUUAACAUUUUUUUAUAAAUAUCCCAAUGUUAUCGUAAAAAGAAAAAAAAUUAAGGGUAGUAAUGAAAUAUACUUGGCAUCACGGGUGUCUUGAGAUGUGUGUGUCUCUCUCUUUCUAUAUAUAUAUAACACUUAAAUCAAAAUAUAAAGAUUAAAUGAGUAUUUAUCUAUCUUUAUAUUCAUCCCACUUUUAGACAUACUUUGUUAAAUUGUCUCUUCUAGAAAAGAGGUCGUUUGCAGCAAUGAAGGAAUUUCAUAUCAAGGUUACAAACAAGAAAACGAAUGGUUCUGGCCAAUUGCAUUUGACUUAGUCAACUGAGAUACGGCAAAAGCAAGGUAGAAUCUAAAAUUACAUAAGAGUCUAAUAGGCAAUAAUCUUCCUAUAAUUAAUGAAUAGCUCAAUAUCUUGACAUAACCUCACAAAUGUAGGAUUUCAAUCUCCGUGUCGUUUAUUUUUUGAAUUUUUUAUUACUUGAGUUUAGAUUAGUUAAUUUAAGAUAAUAAUUGACCUACAUUUAUAAAACAUAUCUAAAUUUUCCUACGUAUUAAAAUACUAAAUGUGAUAUAAGAACCAGCUAUAAGUAGGUUAAAUUGAUGAUUUGGUAUAAUUAUAAUGAUUAUUAUUUUUAAUUGAUCGAUGGAUUGAAAUUUUAGUACCCAUAUAUUUUUUCAAUACGGACAAUUUUAGAGAGUAAGUGAUAACUCUAGGAAAUGAGAGUUAUUACAUCAAUUCUAGGCUUGAAUUAAGGUCAUUUAGAGAACAAAUAAGGAGUUUUCAUUACAUUUUGAUUACCUUUUGCAUAAACAUUCAUUUUAGUUGAGUCUUAAUAAGUUUUGCUUAAAUCAUAGUAAUUUGUACUAAAAACAGGUUUUAAAUUCAUAAGAGUAUGUUGAGGCAUUUGAAGAACAAGAGGAGGAAGGAAGAUGACCACAAAAGAAGUAAAGCACAAUCGGGAAUAAAGCAGUGUUAUGGCAGUUGUUAGAGCAACCAGUGCUGUAGCAAUCUGGGAGCAAUGCGGGAGAAAACUUAGGCGCGAGUCAGCCAUAAAAUCGCGAUAUGCAUGUUUCCUAAUUUAAACACAUGCACGCUCAUGGGCUUUGGUUUAACCUAAUGUGCAAUAUAAAAAGGAGGCAUGCACCACAUAGAAAGGCGGCAAGGAAUUAUCAUUAGAAUAAUUAGAAGGAACGAAGAAGAAGAAGAUCAGAAUUGAAGAGUGUUGUUUCGGCAACAUUGGACAAUCGUGUAGAAUUACUUGACUUUAAUUUUCAUUGUGCUCAACUUAUAUUUAUCUUUUUCCUUUAAUUGAUUUGAUGUAUUCCGAGACCAAUAUGUUUAUGUUUACUUUUCUCAUUCAGAUUAUGAACUAAAUUUACUUGUAGUUGAGUGACAAAUAAUCCAAUGGGUUCUUGACUGUUCUUAUAUGUUGUUACGGUAUUGCUAUAGCAUUAUACUCUAGUAGUUUUUAUGAAUAUAACUGUUAUUUUAGUUGACCACUCAUUUAAUAGUUUCAGUUAAGAUAGAGCAGCAAAAUGACAUGUCUUAGCUGAUAUUAUUAGAGUAUUACUUGUUCCUAAGUCGAGUUUCCUAGAAUAGGUUAUCCCGAAUCCCAUAAGGACAAUACUUUAAGUUAGGAUUUGUGACACUCUAGACAUAGAUGUUCACCUUGUACGGUAGAAAGAUUAAAGGUUAUAAUGAUGUACCAUAAAUAUAUGAGCAACUGGUCAUUGUUAGCAGUUUUAAAGAUAUGAGAUUUCCAAUAUGCGAUAGCUGAGGAUGCAGAUUUAUUAUGCCCAGUGCUGCAGCACUUAUUCUAACAAUUGGUGCUAAUUUGGUAAAUAACAGUCACCCCAUUAGGAGAGUUUGAUCAUUCAACUACUAUAUUCUCAAUUGAAUCUUAGACACAAUUAAGCUAGUUUAUUUCAUUACGGUAUUGUCUUAUUUAAUUCUUAUUGCAAUUACUGAUUAUGAUAGAAAUUAUUUGACAAUUGUUUGUUUUGGUUUCAAGUUGAGUUGCGUUAUUGUGAGUGCUAUAACAUUUUGAAUAAUAUCAAUCCCUGUGGAGACAAUCUUGAAUACUUAUCACUUUAUUACUUGUUGUGUAUACUUGCACGUUGGCAUUGAUAGAUACUGCUUAUAAAAUUCACCAACAAGUUUUUGGCGCCGUUGCCGGGGAUUGAUUGUUUAUUUUUGAAGUGUGAAGAAAAUUGUGAUAGCGCCAAAUUUGACUUGAUUCAUUCUAUUGAUUGGCAUAUCAGUACGUGUAUGCGCAAGGACAAAUCUGUGGUAUUCCAAUUCGAUCCUGAGAUUGAAAGGACUGUCAGGAGAUUGCGAAGAGAACAAAGAUAUCCAAAGACUGUUUCAGGCAUGAAUAAUUUACAGAAUGAGGAAAAUUUGAUCCCUCACGGGCCCUUACAACCAGUCAACAUUCAAGAAAAACAUAAUAAACAUGCUAACGGGAGACAGCCAGGCAACAACAAUAUUAUUUACAUGGCUGAUGACAGAGAUAGAGCAAUAAGAGAUUAUGCUGUGCUAACUCCUCAAGUUGUACAUCCUGGCAUCAUCAGACCUGAAGUAGACGCUAUAAAUUUUGAGUUAAAGCCAGUGAUGUUUCAAAUGUUGCAAACAGUUGGGCAAUUCAAUGAAUUGCCAAAUGAAGAUCCCCAUCUCCAUAUUAAAUUGUUCUUGGAAGUAAGUGAUGCUUUCAAAAUUGCUGGAGCAACAGAAGAUGCCUUAAGGCUAAGGCUCUUUCCUUAUUCCUUAAGAAAUCGAGCAAGAGCAUGGUUAAAUUCAUUACCAUCUGAUUCCAUCACUACAUGGAAUGAAUUGGCUGAUAAAUUCCUAAUGAAAUAUUUCCCACCAACAAAAAAUGCAAAGUUGCGGAAUGAGAUUACUUCCUUUCAUCAACUUGAAGAUGAGAGUUUGUACGAGGCUUGAGAAAGGUUCAAGGAAUUGCUCAGAAGGUGUCCUCAUCACAGUAUUCCUACUUUCUACAAUCGGUUGAAUCCGAGUACAAGGUUAAUGGUGGAUGCUUCAGCAAAUGGAGCUCUGUUAUCCAAAUCUUACACUGAAGCUUAUGAAAUUCUGGAAAGAAUUGCCAAUAAUAAUUACCAGUGGCCUUCAGCCAGGUAACCAUCAGCAAGAGGAUCAACAGAGGUACAUAACAUUGAUGCAAUUACAGCCUUAUUAGCACAAGUUACUUCAUUGACUAAUAUGGUAAAAGCCAUGACAUUUGCUCCAGCAACAAUAAAGCAAGUCACUACACUCUCUUGUGUAUACUGUGGUGAGGAACAUGACUUGAUAGAUGUCUAGGGAAUCCAGCUUCAGUAAACUAUGUGGGUAAUUUCAAUCGACAACCUCAAAACAAUCCAUAUUCAAAUACUUACAACCCUGGUUGGAAGAACACCCAAAUUUCUCAUGGAGCAAUUAGAAUCGAAAUGCUCUAGCAUUCAUUUGACAAAAUAGAAACACACAGCCACCUGGUUUUCAUCAGCAGAGUCAAGGGCAAAAUUAAAUCAGUUAGGAUCCAAUCACUUCAUUGGAAACACUGAUUAAGGAGUAUAUUGCAAAGAAUGAAGCAAUUGUGCAGAGUCAAGCUGUAUCCUUGAGAAACCUGGAGAAUCAAAUGGGACAACUAACCACAGUAAUGAGUAGCAGAACUCAAGAAAGCCUACCUAGCAAUACAAAAGAUCCUAGGAGAGAGAGCAAAGAACACUGCAAAGUAAUUAGUUUGAGAUCUGAAAAAAAUGUUAAUAUACCAGUUGAGGUGACAAAAAAUGGGACAGAAUGCAAUUCAGCACAAAAACUAACUCACAAGGGAAGCCUGUUACAGCAAAUUCCCCAUCAAGACAUUGAUUAUAUAGGCCAAGCUACAGCAAUUGUAGAAGAAAUUCAACCAGAACAUGCUGAAAAGAAGUUGCAACACCAGUAGCCACAACCUGCACCAACCUAAACAAACAAAGUUUGGUACCUCCUGAAUAUAACCAGCAAUUUAGACAUCCACCACCUUUCCCACAAAGGUUUCAGAAACAAAAGCAGGACAAGCAAUUCAGCAAAUUUCUGGAAGUGCUGAAGCAAUUACACAUAAACAUACUUUUGUGGAAGCUUUGGAGCAAAUGCCAAAUUAUGUGAAAUUUAUAAAGGACAUCUUGGCAAGAAAAAGAAGGCUGGGAGAGUUUGAAACUGUUGCUUUAACACAGAAAAACAGUCAUAUGCUCCAAAAUAAAAUUCCAGCAAAAGUAAAAGAUCUAGGAAGUUUCACAAUACCAUGUUCUAUAGGAACUAGGUAUGCUGGCAGAGCACUCUGUGAACUGGGAGCUAGCAAUAAUUUGAUGUCAUUAUCUGUAUUCAAAUAACUUGGAGUAGGGGAAUGCAGACCAACAACAGUCACUCUGCAAUUGGCUGACAGAUCUCGUACAUACCCUGAAGGAAAAAUAGAGGAUGUACUAGUGAAGGUUGAUAAAUUCAUCUUUCCAGUGGAUUUCAUUGUACUGGAUUUUGAAGCUGAUAAAGAGGUACCCAUUAUACUUGGAAGACCUUUUCUAGUAACUGAAAAGACUCUGAUAGAUGUUCAGAAAUGAGAGUGUAGUGGAUUUUGUUGUAGCAGACAGAAUGGAUAAAUGCUGCAGUAAAGUAUUUGACAGAGUCAAUACCUUUGAUGAUGUAGAAGAGAAAGAUGUUGCAGCAAUUCAGACAGAUUGGAUGGAAGAAAAGCAAUCUGAUACGUACACCAGGUUCAUUGAGCAUCUGAAUCUUUCAGACAGGGAAGUAAAAACAACUUUACCAUCUAUUGAAUCAUCUCCUAGUCUUGACUUAAAAUUGUUACCUUCACAUUUAAAAUUUACUUAUCUUGGUAAAAAUAACACACUCCCUGUAAUCAUCUCUUCUACUUUGGAUGCAGGUCAAGAAUAGAGUUUAGUAGAUUUGCUUGGAAAAUACAGAAGAACAAUUGGAUGGACCAUGGCAGAUAUAAAGGGGAUAAGCCUAUCAAUUUGCAUGCAUAAAAUCCUACUAGAAGAUUACUCCAGCAAUUCAGUUGAGCACCAGAGAAGGUUGAACCCUAUCAUGAAAGAAGUAGUGAAGAAGGAAAUCAUCAAAUGGUUAGAUGCUGGAAUCAUAUAUCCAAUAUUAGACAGUUCAUGAGUGAGCCUAGUUCAAUGUGUUCCAAAGAAGAGAUGGAUAACAGUAAUAACUAAUGAGAAGAAUGAACUUAUUCCUACAAGGACAGUAACUGGAUGGAGAGUAUGUAUGGAUUACAGGAAGCCCAAUAAAGCCCCAAGGAAAGACCAUUUUCCACUUCCAUUCAUAGAUCAGAUGUUGAACAAACUUGCUGGAAAACAGUACUAUUAUUUUUUAUAUGGGUAUUCAGACUACAACCAGAUUGCUAUAGCUCCAGAAAAUCAGGAAAAGACAACAUUUACUUGUCCUUAUGGCACAUUUGCAUUUAGAAGAAUGCCUUUUGGGUUAUGCAAUGCUCCAGCAACUUUUCAGAUAUGCAUGAUGUCUAUAUUUUCUGACAUGGUAGAGCAGACUUUAGAAGUUUUCAUGGAUGACUUCUCAGUGUUUGGAGAAACAUACAAUGAUGGUUUGCACAACUUGGAAGAAGUUCUUAAAAAAUGUGAGAUGACCAACUUAGUACUCACUUGAGAAAAAUGCCAUUUCAUGGUGCAAGAAAGAAUAGUGUUGGGUCACAAGGUAUCCAAAUAUGGCAUUGAGGUAGACAAAGCCAAGAUAGAUGUAAUAGAUAAACUGCCACCUCCAACUUCAGUAAAUGGUAUAAGGAGUUUUUUGGGUUAUGCUGGAUUUUACAGAAGAUUCAUUAAGGAUUUUUCCAAGGUGGCUAAACCAUUAUGCUCAUUGCUGGAACAUGAUAAACCCUUUUACUUUGACAAAGAAUGUCAUCAAGCAUUUGGAGAAUUAAAGAAAGCUCUGAUCACUGCUCCAGUAAUCAUAUCUCCAAACUGGACUUUACCAUUUGAAUUAAUGUGUGAUGCUAGUGACCAUUCUGUGGGAGCAGUAUUAGGGCAAAUAAAAGAUAAGGUUUUUCACUCGAUAUACUAUGCAAGCAAAACUCUUACUCAAACUCAAAUCAAUUACACCACUAUAGAGAAAGAAUUGCUAGCAGUAGUAUUUGCUUUUGACAAAUUCAGAGCCUACUUAGUGGGCACUAGAGUGACAGUAUAUACAGACCAUACAGCCAUCAGAUACUUAAUUUCAAAAAAAGAUGUCAAGCCAAGAUUAAUCAGAUGGAUCUUAUUGUUACAAGAAUUUGAUUUGGAAAGUAAAGAUAAAAAGGGGACUGAGAAUCAAGUAGCAGAUCACCUAUCAAGAUUGGAAGCAGACACAAGCACAUUGACAAGAAAAGACAUCACUGAAACUUUUCAUGAUGAACAGCUGUUGGUGGUACAACAAGCACAGAUGCUGCAGCAGUCAGAAUCUCCAUGGUAUGCAGAUUUUGCUAACUAUUUAGUAAGUGGAUUGUUACCACCCGAGCUGAAGUUUCAAGAGAAAAAUAAAUUUCUUCAUAAUCUUAGAAGUUACCAAUGGGAUGACCCACAUUUAUAUAAGCUGUGCCCAGACUAAGUAAUACGAAGAUGUGCUGUAGAAGGAGAGAUUCUCCAUAUAUUUGAGGCAUGUCAUGCUGCAGUAUAUGGAGGACAUUUUGGUGGUCACAGAACAGCUACUAAAGUAUUGCAAUCAGGUUAUUACUGGCCAACUAUUUUUAAAUAUGCUUAUGAGUUUGUUAAAUGUUGUGACAGAUGUCAAAGGACAGGGAACAUAACUAGCAGACAUGAGAUGCCAUUGACCAACAUACUGGAAGUAGAAAUUUUUUAUGUCUGGGGAAUAGAUUUCAUGGGACCUUUUCCCCCAUCCUUUGGGAACUUAUAUAUCCUUGUUGUUGUGGAUUAUGUCUCUAAAUGGGUAGAAGCUGUAGCAUUACCUACCAAUGAUGUUAAAGCAGUGGUGGCUUUUCUGUAGAAAAAAUAUUUUUUUCAGAUUUGGCACUCCUAGAGCAAUUAUUAAUAAUGAGGGAACACAUUUUUGCAACAAAGUAUUUGCUGCAGCAAUGGUAAAAUAUAGAGUCAGACACAAGGUAGCUACAGCAUAUCACCCACAAUCUAAUGGUCAGGCUGAAGUAUCCAACAGAGAGAUUAAAAAGAUCUUAGAAAAAGUGGUGAACCCAACAAGGAAGGAUUUGUCUUUACACUUAUAUGAUUCUCUAUGGGCCUACAGAACAGCAUACAAAACUCCACUCGGCAUGUCCCCUUACCGAAUUGUUGAUGGAAAGGCUUGUCAUUUGCCACUAGAGCUAGAGCAUAAAACACAUUGGGCACUGAAGAAAUUAAAUUGAGAUAUUCAUGUUGCAACAGAGCAAAGAAAGCUUCGACUUUGUGAGAUUGAUGAAUUACGGCAAUUUUCAUAUGAAAAUGCAAGAAUUUAUAAAGAAAUGACAAAACACUGGCACGACAAGCAUAUCCAACACAGGCAAUUUAGCCCUAGACAAUUAGUAUUGCUCCACAAUACAAGACUAAGAUUAUUUCCAGGAAAGCUCAAGUCACGAUGGUCUGACCCAUUUAAGCUGCUCAAAUUUUAUCCUCAUUGAGCUAUUGAUCUUUUAGAUGAACAGACAGGUCAAGAAUUCAAGGUUAAUGGGCACAGGGUUAAGCACUACAUACAUCCAGCGGCAUAUCGUUCCAAUGAGGUGUUACUCCUUAAAGAACCCAGCUAUUGAGCAAUGAAAGAAGAUCAGGAUGAAGGACCUUAAAUCAAGCGCUCCAUGGGAGGCAACCCAUUGGGGAGACAGCCGCUUCAAACUAAUUUUGAUAUCCUUUGGUUUUGUAGACAGCUCUCCCUCUUUACUAUCUUAUUUAAUUUUAUUUUUCUAUGAUUAGCCAUUUAUUUUUACCUUUUUACAUUAUUGCAUUCUUUAUUUUCGCUUUAAUUUUAUCUAUUUAUUUCUCUUAAUAAUUUUAGAAUUAAUUAUAUUUUGAAGUCAGUGUGACAAUUGAAUUCCAUAUUGACAAGUGAGAGUGUAUGAUGGCAGAAUGCAGGGGUAAGCCAUGUGUCAGAAGCUUUAGUAUGAAGUAUGUAUUGAAAUACAAGUAUGCAACCCAAGAGGGGGGGUGAAUUGAGAUUCUAAAAAUUAUUCAAUUUAUAAAAAAAAACUUAAUGUAAAUAUUUAAAAUUCAAAGCAAUAACAAUUAAGUUGAUCACAAUAUAAAAAGAUAAGGGAAGAGAGAUUCAAACACAGAGAUUUUUAUGUGGUUCGGCCAACCUCGCCUACGUCCACGCCUCCAAGCUUUCCGGGCUUGAGGAUUCCAUUAAGCAAGCCUCCAAGGCUUCAAAUGCUUACACUUGACUUCCAAGGUGUCAAUAAACCUUUACAACAAGAGAUUAUCCCCAAUCUCUUAACCCAAGUGUAUCCUAACACUUACAAUCACUCAUAGUAAAAGAUUACAAAUUGAUUUGCCUCUCACAAUAUAUAGGAUUACACAAUGAUGCUUAAUAUGUGAAUAGAUGAAGCAAGAAUGUGUUCUAAGCUCUAUGAAGAUUGUAUUCUCGAAUAUUAGCUCAAUGGUCGUGUUAUGAUCAAUCUAGUUUGAAUUUGAAUGAGCUUAUUUAUAUUUGGAGCUAAAAAAUUAGCCGUUACAAACUGUCGGUCCAAAAACGGUUUGCCGUUAGUCAUUAACGGUUAACCAUUUACGCUAGUCAAAAGUUACCGUUGGGCCAAAUUUCAAACAAACGGUUUGCCGUUUAGGAUUGCCCUUUCGCCGUUAAAUUCCAGAGACCUGCAAAAUGAAUAUCAGCUAUCCGUUUAAAGUAAACGGUUAAGGAUUUGCAUGAAGUGAUUUCUCUGGAUAUUAUCGAUUGACCGUUUGUAAUAAACGGUGCGCCAUUUGUUUCCAGUAACCUGCAAAAUAAUUUAGCCUUAAUCGGUUUUGUUAAUCAGUGAUUCUGAACGUUAUCGGUUAACUGUUUAAAUAAACGGUUCACCGUUAAGUUCCAGUAGCCUUCCCAUCUUUGGUGUUUUCCGUUUUUCAUAAACGGUUAGAGUUUAGGCAAUAUGUUGCUCUCUGGUGUUAAUCGGUUAACCGUUUAAAUAAACGGUUCACCGUUAAGUUCCAGUAACAUUCCCAUCUUUUGUGUUUUCCAUUUUUCAUAAACGGUUAGAGAUUUAGGAAAUAUGUUGCUCUCUGGCUUUAAUCGGUUAACCGUUUAAAUAAACGGCUUACCGUUUAUUUCCAGAAUCACACUUUAAAACAGAUUUUACAGAGAAUCAUUUUUGAAUUUGAAGGUCCAUCUUUUAUAAAACAAUGAAUGGAAUGAUUAUUAAGGCUUUCGUUUAUUAAGGAAUAGCUCCAACACUUUUAUCAAAAAUCAUUUAAAGUUUGUUAUUAUCAAAAUCAAUAUUAUUAACAUAUUCAUGUUAACAUGUAUCCGUUGUCAGAACAAGCAAAUGGGUGCUGCAACAACUAAUUUUACCGUUACAGUAAAUUAAAAGCUGGAGUCUUUCACUUACCGUUGGAAAUAAAAUCGUGACAAAUGGAUGCACGGAUAUGGAAAGAAAAUUGAGGAAACAAAUCUCUGAAAUUAAAGCUUUAAUUUCAUUAACCGAUAAUUUUGGGGAUAUGCACAUUUAAUUCAAAUAUUUUAUUCCCUCAAUUAUCUCUAAUUACCGUAUUUAUCUUCAAAUUAAAGUCCAUUAUAAAAAGAAGUCACUGUGUUUAGGGCUCUAAGCCACUAUUCCCUAUCUCCUUCGUAAAGACAACUGUAACAAUCCUUAAAUUUUUUUUCUCUUUUUACUCUUAGGAAAAGUAGCUUCAAUUUGUCACUGCUACAGCAAUGCCGGGAUACAAGAAAACAGCCAGCUGCCUCAAAGAUCCGUCACGCUUCCAGAGCUACCAUGCCGAAGAAAAAUAUAAAGAAUUCAUAAAGCCGCGUAAGAUUCUGGAAGAGAAAGGGUUUCAAUUCCUAGAACAACUCACUAGAAUUGUACAAACAAUUCAUAAUGCUGCAGCAAAGCGAGGAUGGUUAGAGUUUUGCAAUCAUCCUCGUGAUCCUGUGCUUCAAGUAGUCAAAGAGUUUUACGCCAAUUUGGUAAGCCCUGAUCAGCAUAACAUUUGGGUAAGAAACACUCUUGUUCCCUUAGACUCCCAAGUUAUCAAUGCUUUUACAACUCUUACCAUAAAUUGACCCCGAAAAAAUAGACCAUUAUUUUCACAACUCUUACCAUCGAAGGGGCAUUAUGGGCUAACGAAGAAGGGCGUGUAGUUAAUAGGAUAGAUUUGAAACCUAUUGCUAAGGUGUGGGUGAAAUUUUUUAAAUCUAAGCUUAUGCCCACCACUCACACUACCACGGUUUCGCAAGAGAGAUUGGUUUUGUUAUAUAUCCUUGUUCGAGGGCUUCCCAUUGAUGUGGGUAGCAUCAUUGCAAAAGAAAUCCGAGAGUGUGCAGUCAAGACUCACCGAACUGCUGCCUUGCUAUUUCCUUCACUUGUCACCAGCAUUUUUGUAGUUUCAGGUGUUCGUCUUGACACUAGAGAUGACCAUGUUAAGAAUGAUGGUGCAUUUACGACACGUACAAUUAAGAGAGUUGCAGGUGAGAGUGCUGGAACAACCACUGAACCAACUGCUGUGACAGGAGCAAGACGUGCUAUUGGCUUAGAACAAACCAUCGAGGCACUCAGCACCGGUAUCACGCAAUGUAUGGAAGCUCAGCAGAGGGAAAAUGGUCGGUUUUGGAGUUAUCUACCGUACCUGGAUAACCAACUACACUAAUUUGCUCUGUACAUGAAAUGCACUCACCGGAACUUCCAUGAUUCACUGCUCCAGCAGUACAAUUUUGAUACUAACACCAUAGGUGCUCCAGUAGAAGCCAGCGAAGAAGCCACUGGUACAGAUGAACCAGCAGAAGUCGAAUCAUAAGAUGUUGAACCAUCUGACUCACCUGAGGACGAAAUUGACAAGUCUGAGACUGAUAGCUCACCCUCAGAGGCAGAGGAUACUUCGGAGAAAGAAUGUGAGGAACCAACCAUCCCAACUCAGUCCAAAACUAGGAAGCAACACAUUAUUCAAGAAGAGGAGGAGGAAGACUUUGAAGAGGAACCGUCUAUUCUAGUCUUUGUAUGCAAAGGAAAGGACAAGGGUAAAGCUCAAAUGGCAACACCUCUUGACUCUGCAGAUGAAUUGGAGCAAGUUGAUGUCGAGCUAGCUGCUGCAGCAGCCAAAGUUACGCCUACACAUAAACAAGCCAAGCAACUACUGGCCAUCAUUGCGGCCAUCACAGCUAAGGGCCAGGCAGCUGAUGCAUCAACUCCAAUUCCUCCCCAGCAAACUCCUAGCCAGUCUGUUCGCGCCAGUCCGCUACAGCCCAACAAAAGAAAACGCAGUACUUCUAAAGGCCCUGCUACAGCAACCCCAUCCACCACUCCUGUUGUGCAAAUUUUAAUGUACUCGCAAGCGCACGAAUCUAUUGUAGUAUAGACUAAUGGUGACGAGUGUCGAUCCCACGAGGAGGUGAAUUUUAAUUGUGUGUAGAAUUAAUUUUCUAAAUGGGUGGUUGGAUUUGUGGUGAAAAUGAUUUUGAUUAUCCUAAAAUUAGAAUUGAAAUGACGAGAAUAAUUUGAAGAGAAUUAUAUUCAAAUGACGUACUUGGGUAUCUGGAUCCGUAUCAACAUGCAUCAUGGGCUAAAUAUUCCUUAUUAAUAGCAAUUAAAUUAUGAGGGGGGAAUCCACACCUCAUGAACUACACUCUAAUCAAUAUGGUGCUAAGGGCUUAUCGUGCCAAAUAAUAAUAACUUUGUAUUAAGGAGCCGGUGAAACCAAGGCGGUACUAAAGAAGAUUAUUAUUAUUUGUCGACGAGAAGUCAAAACAUCCACAAAAACUAGAGGGGAAGAGAAAAUAAAUUUAUCAAAUAAAGCCCAUGACACAUGUUGAGACUUCACCUUCAACCCAAGCUUGAAAGAAAAUUAGCUACUCAAAAUUGAACUAGGGGCAAAAUGGAAAUUUAUUAAAACACAUAGAAAAUACAAGAUGGAGAAGGAAUUAAAGAAAAUAGAUCCCAAAAAUGGAUUCAGAGAUAUCAAAUUAGGGGGGGAGGCCCCCUUUUUAUAGAUACAUGGAGUAAAUCAUGGUCAUCGGAUUAAAAACAGUUUGGACGCUUAGGAUUGCGCCACGUCAUCAGUCAACAGUACGUGGUUUAACCACGUGGAUGAACAGUAACACGGUUUGACCAGGGUUGAACAGUAACGCGGUUUGGUUGAAAAUAAUCCUGUGUGAUGCAUGUACCGUACGCGAGAUUUUUCGUCCACUGAUAUGCUGCCACGUCACCAUCAACAGUACAUAAGAAUUUUAGUCCAACAGGAACGUGACACCUCAUCAGUCAAUGCCACAUCAUCGGUCAAUGCCACGUCAUCGAUCCGUCUAUGUGAACAUUGUCGUGAACAGUAACGUAUACAGUACCGUACACGUGAAUAGUACCGUACAUGUGAAUAGUAUCGUUUUUCCUUUUAUGUUCCUCCUAAGGUUUUCGACCGUCCUGAGUUCAAAAGUGAUGUCCGUUUUGCCGUCUGAUCUCUCCUUUAUUAUGAAAUGACUAUAAUGCCCCUAAAAUACAUAAAAUACUUAAUUAAAAUAAAACACAUGUAAUUAAAUCACAAGAAAGUUAAAUACAUAAAAGUAAAGGUUGUUAGUAAGACUUGAAAUGUAAAAUGACGGUUUUCUCCUUUAUAAACAUGUAUUUUCUAACACUCAACACAUCUCCCAACCAGCUUAUUGUUAGUCCCUAGCAAAUAAAGCAAAAACAAAAUUCAAAUUCAAAAUAUUUUUUUUUAAUAGAAACACUCAUAUUUAUUCCAUCAGAUUAAUGAUAGCAAUCAAAUAAAAGUAUAAGCAUUAUCUCCAGUCUAAAGCAACAUCACACUCACAUCAACCAUCCAUAUGAAUCAGCCUAGUAGACUUUGUUAUAGCUACUUUCAAAAAUGACAUGUCAAACCCCAAAAUCUCACUGGAAGUAGUGACACUCUCACAAAGAAAUUAAAACCAAUAAAAAUAGUCACUCCAAUGAAUGGUAAUUGAGAGAGAAAAUAAUAAAGAAGUGAUAUCACAUGCUCUCACCAAGAUGAAAUAAAUAUGCCCCCAGCUUAGAAAUAAUACGAUCUCAAGUCAAAUAAAAAUGCUAGUCAACCCAAUUUAUUUAUCUUUUUUUUUCUUUUAUUUAUUUAUUUUUAUUAUGCACCACUACAUCUUUUUAGCCCACAUAACAGCUUCUACUUCAAAUUAUAGUUCCCUAAAAUCAUGAAUGCCUUUUAUUAGGAUGUAACGUAGGCUAGGGACAUGGUUAACAAAGAAGGGAAAUAAGGAAAACAAAGUGUAUGUUUGAGAAAAAUGCAGAGGAAUUUUUUUUUUUUUGGAAGUUGCAAGGUGAAUUUCACCUAUUAUUGUUAUUUUUUUUUCUUUUUUUCUUUUUGAAUUUUUUUUUUGCUUUUGCUUAGCACAACGUCACUAAAUAAAAUAAUUAUUUACAUUUUCUCAAACAUAAAUAGGUGAUGGAACUUAUAAGACAUCGGGUAAUACUCCAAAUCGGAGUGGGUCAAGAUGAUAAGUUGACAAAGAAAAUAUUUUUUUUUUAAAGGCUCAAAAGGGUUAACUAUGGAUAUUUAAUAAAAGGGAUGGCUAGAAAGGCUCAAACGGAUCAAAGAUGGCUUUUCCAUCGUCUUUUAGGGCUCUAAAUAAUCAUCCAUAUCUACUAGUUAGAUGGGCCUCCAAAUGUAGCAACACACAUUUUUUUUUGUUUUUUUUCUUUUUUUUUUAAUUUUACAAUUUUUUUUAAGGGUUAACUCAAAAGAAAUCUAGAGAUCGUGUAUACAAUAAUAAACUGUUAAGCUGUAUAAAGAAUGGGCAAAAGGGUUACUCUCCAAGAAAAAUGAUAGGCUCAAAAACUCACUUGGUACUUAUUAUGACAUGUUCAUUCCUUCAAGCAACUCAUAUUUGUCUCCGACAUCAACAUGUAGAGUAGCAAACAUAAUGUAACAUCACUUAAGACCAAAGAUAAUACAAAUGCUAAAAUUUGAAAUUAAUCAUGUCAUCCAAUGUUAAAACAAAUCACAUAAUUUUUUUUUAAACAACAUUCUACCCCCCAACCUAUUCUAAACAUGAAGGAAAAUAUGCAUGCAAAAAUGUGAAAAUGAUGCAUAAAAACUAAUUAGAAAAAUUACACGUAAAAUGAUAGAAAACGAAAUGGUUUUUUUUUUUAAAAAAAAGAUGUGUUUCUAGAGGCACUACACUCUAUAUUCAGCCAUCUUCGACUCACAAGUUGGAAAAUGUAUAUUUAUAGAGGAGAAAUUAAAAAGAAGAAAAAUAAACAUAAAAACAUAAUAAAGAAAAAGAAAAUGUCUGAAUUUUUUUUUAGUUUUUUAUUUUGUUUAAUUUUUUUUACGAUGAAGAUGCGUUUCUAGAGUCACUACACUCCAUAUUCAGCCAUCUUCAACACAAAAAGUUAGCAACAGUUAGUUUUUACAACAAAAAAUUAGUAAAAACUUAACCAAAAUUCUACAAUUGUCGACUAUUCCCUCCCCCCAACCAGAACAGAACAUUGUCCUCAAUGUUUGAAAGGAAAGAAGUAAAGUUUAGAAGACAUCACCUGAGUGGUGCAACACAAAAGAAAAUAUUUACAAGCGGAGAAUUAAAUCUAAUUUGUACUUCUUACUGCGGCUACUGUUACCAUCAUUAUUUGGAUGCUCCAACACAAAGGUCCAGGGGUCUGGCUCUGGUCUAUAAGCUUGUAACAGAUCAAGUAGCUCAUUAGCAGUGUGAGCACAAAUAAAGAGUUUUUUUCGCAUUAGAGGAAAUGAAAUAGUUUUUUAUUGCAUGGUUAAGAAAUGCGAUAAAGCCAUCAUAAAAGUUAUUGACAUUUAACAAACCGAUGGGUUUCUGGCGGAUGUGAAGAUAGGCCUAAGAUGCUAGUAUGAUAAGUGCCUCUAGUGUUGCAAGAUCUCCUGGAAGGAAAAUAAAAGCAUCAGCAUGAUUAAGCAUUUCAGUUAUUCUUUCUUGCAUAUCUGAGACGACUAACUCUUCUCUAAUUGAUGAGUCAGACGAACUGCCCAAUGGUUUUAGGACUCUUGGAAUGAUGCCUAACACUUAACUUCCUCUGACAAAAGCUGCUUCAGAGACCAUUUUUGAUAACCCUCGGUUACCUCCUCCAUACACCAAGUGUAAUUUUCUCUCUGCUAUACUUCGACCAAGAUCGAUGGCUGUCUCAACGAACUCUUUAUGUUUGCCAUAGGUAAAUCCAGAUAGACAACGAAUUCUUGAAUUGUCUAUUUGGAGUAGCUGCCAUUGUGAUACUUCUCAAAAAAUAAUUUGUGAGUGCUUGACAAAAAAAAAUCACAUUUAAGAGUCUUGGUGACAGUGGGUCACAGUUGUGUAUGAGGUAACAUGUCAGUGUCAAAUAACGGGUAAAGCACGUGGCUCGCGAGUCAAAAAAGAAACAGUAAAAAGAAAAAAGCAAACAGUAAUAAGGAAAAAGCAAACAGUAAUAAAAUUAUUAAAGACAAUAAUGCACACAAUAAAACAAUAGUGAAAUAAAAUAACAGUAAAGUGAAAGGAUAUUUACAGGUAGUUGCGACUGUGGCUCACAUCUUCCUCUGGUUUUACGUCCAGGAAUGGCUUGAACGCCCUCUAUGGGUCGAGGAUAGGCUUCCUAUCUAGUUUUCUUAUAAACUGGCAAACAGGGUCGUUUAUAGUCAGAUUCCCGAGACUAUAUCGUGCAUGCUCUUUUUGGAAUAAUGGUCAUAAUUGGAGAAUCGCUCCUUGCACAUAUCCAUUGGAAUGCGUUUCAAGAGACAAAAGGAUAUCAUCCAAUGACUCCUUAUUCAAGCCAUCCCUAAUGAAUUGAAUCUUAUCUUCCCUGUUAUCAGACAACAUUCCUAAAGAACAUGGGUUUUUAUUGCAACUCAUUCUGGCACACUUAUGACAAGCAACAGAAAUUCUUCGAGCUCGUCGUUUUCUUGCAUAAUUUCCUUUACCACAACUAAGCAUGUAUGCAAUAAAUUUUGGUGGUAACUCACUUGCCGAUCGUACUUUAGCCUCGAUUAACCAACGGAUGUCAGCAGGUAUAUUAUUCCUUAUGAGUAAUCGCAUGCGUUCGGACCGAGCUUUAUAAAUCGUAAGGAGGGCAUUCUGAGGAAGUGAAGGGAAUCGCUUGUGAAGCUUCGCUAGAAUCUCGUUUCUAUCCAUACUUUCGCCUCAGAAUAUCAGUUAUUAUGGGAAACUGAAGUAACCGACUUGAUUGUCACGGAGUACCGUUAUCCGCCACUUCACCGGGGUAACAAACUAAAGCACACAAACAGAAAAACAAAUUAAAACACACAAAGAAAAUUAAAAUCGUCCUCUUAUUGAAUUUACCUCAAGCUCCAACUGGAUGUCGUAAACACUUCUCUCAAUAUCUCUGAGUUGGCUUUCUAGACCCUCAACAUAGGAUACUAACUCUGGUGGUUGUAGAACCCAAAUGCGAUGUGUUUUACAAAAUUGAAUCUGCCUUUUGAGAUGAGUUUUGACACGUUGAAGUGGUUUAAGAAUGUUCAGGAGGAACGGUCUAAGUAAGGUACUCAUGAUUAAAAAUGAUAAGAGAAAACUUAAUAGUUAAACAAACACAGUUAUGCAAAAAUAAUUUCAAUUAACAAAAGAAUAAUAAAAAGAAAGAAAGAAAAAUCAAAUCAACAAAAAGAAAAAAAAUCAAUUCAAAUCUAGUGGAUCACUCAAAUUUAUUUCGGUGUUUUCUCUAUGUGGUUGGUACUCUAGAUAUGGCUUUAAUCUUUGACCAUUAACUUUAAACGUGACACCGUUCUUUGGGUCCUUAAUUUCAAUUACCCCAUGUGGAAAAACAGUAAGUACAAUAAAUGGGCCAGACCAACGAGAGCGUAACUUACCUGGGAAUAGGUGCAAGCGAGAAUUGAAUAAAAGCACUUUCUGACCUGAAGUGAAAGAUUUUCUCAUAAUUUGCUUGUCAUGGAAGACUUUCAUUCGUUGCUUGUAAAUCUUGGCAUUUUCGUAUGCGUCAUUGCGAAUUUCUUCAAGUUCUGCCAGUUGUAAUCUUCUUUCUGAGCUGGCUUGCUGCAUGUCAAAGUUGAAUUUCUUGAUGGCCCAAUACGCACGAUGCUCGAGUUCCACAGGUAGGUGAAAAGCUUUUCCAUACACUAGUCUGUAUGGUGACAUCCCAAUCGGGGUCUUGAAAGCCGUUAUAUAUGCCCAUAAUGCAUCAUCAAGUCUUAAUGACCAAUCUUUUCUGUCCGGCUUCACCAUCUUUUCUAAUAUGUGUUUUAUUUCUCGAUUGGAGAUCUCAACUUGGCCACUGGUUUGCGGAUGAUAUGGGGUCGCCACUUUGUGAGUGAUUGAAUACUUUGUCAAAAGAGAUUUGAAUGCUUUGUUACAAAAGUGGGCACCACCAUCACUGAUUAUUGCUCGAGGGAAUCGAAAGCGUGAAACAAUAUUGCUUUUCAAAAAUCCUAUCACCACCUUGUGAUCAUUGGUUCUACAUGGAAUUGCUUCUACCCAUUUCGAUACGUAGUCAACAGCAACCAAUAUGUAUUGAUGGCCAAAAGAAGGGGGAAAAGGGUCCCAUGAAGUCGAUACCCCAUAUGUCAAAAAUCUCAACCACUAAAAUUGGAUUUAGUGGCAUCAUGUUCCUUCGUGUAAUGCUCCCCAUUCGUUGACACCUAUCACAUGAAGAACAGAAAGUGUAAGCAUCUCGAAAUAUAGUUGGCCAAUAGAAAUCACAUUGCAAAACUUUAGUAGCUGUUUUCUUAGCACUGAAAUGGCCUCCACAGGCUUGUUCAUGGCAGAAUGAAAGGAUAUUUUGAAUUUCACUUUCUGGGACACAUCGUCUAACAAUUUGGUCUGCACAAUACUUGAACAAAUAAGGGUCAUCCCAAAAGAAAUUCUUUAUUUCUGUAAAAAAUUUAGCCUUGUCUUGCUUGGUCUAAUGCUCUGGAAGUUUACCUGUAACAAGAUAAUUAACUAUAUCAGCAUACCAAGGUAAUACUUCCACACUCAUUAAUUGUUCAUCUGGAAAUGACUCAUUUAAUGGUAAUAGUUCUGUAAUUAUGUCAAAGUGGAGACGAGAGAGAGGGUCCGCCACAACAUUUUCCAUGCCUUUCUUAUCCUUGAAUUCCAAGUCAAAUUCCUGCAAAAGUAACACCCAACGAAUUAGUCUAGCUUUUGCAUCUUUCUUUGUGAGAAGAUAUUUAAGAGCAGCAUGAUCUAUGAAUAUAAUUAUUUUACAACCAAUGAGAUAAGAUCGAAAUUUCUCUAAUGCAAACACUACUGCUAGCAUUUCUUUUUCAGUAGUUGAAUAGUUCAACUGUGCAUCAUUCAAUGUCAUACUAGCAUAGUAAAUAACAUGGGGAAUUCGAUCAACUCUUUGUCCUAAUACUGUUCCUACUGCAUAAUCAGAUGCAUUACACAUGAGCUCAAAUGGUAAGCUCCAAUUUGGGGGGUGAAUGAUGGGUGAUGAUGUCAACAACUGCUUCAAUUUUUCAAAAGCCACAAGACAUGAAUCAUUAAAGAUAAGUUGUACAUCCUUAGCAAGUAAAUUGCAUAAGGGUCUAGAAACUUUGCUAAAAUCUUUAAUGAAACGUCUAUAGAAACCAGCAUGCCCAAGGAAAAAUCUUACUUCUCUGACUGUUUUGGGUGGAGGAAGAUUAGAAAUGAGAUCCACCUUGGCUUUGUCAACCUCAAUACCUUUGCUCGAAAUGAUGUGACCGAGAACAAUACCCUGUUUUACCAUAAAAUAGCACUUCUCCCAAUUCAAGACUAAGUUCUUCUCGGUACAUCUCUGCAGAACUAGUGUUAGAUGAUGUAAGCAUUGAUCAAAUGAAUCACCAAAGACAGAAAAGUCAUCCAUAAAGACUUCAAGAAAUCGUUCAACCAUAUCAAAAAAAAUACUUAACAUGCAUCGUUGAAAUGUAGCAGGUGCAUUACAUAAUCCAAAUGGCAUUCUCUUAUAUGCAAAAGUGCCAAAAAGGCAAGUGAAAUGGUCUUCUCUUGAUCUUUUGGUGCUAUGAGAAUCUGAUUGUAUCCUGAGUAGCCAUCUAAAAAGCAAUAAAAUUCAUGGUCUGCUAAUCUAUCAAGCAUUUGAUCGAUAAAUGGUAAAGGAAAAUGGUCUUUACGUGUGACAGAAUUCAACUUUCUAUAAUCAAUGCAUACACGUCAUCCUGUAGUUAUUCUAGUUGGUAUCAAUUCAUUAUCGGCAUUCGUAACUACUGUGACUCCUGACUUUUUGGGGACAACUUGUACAAGACUGACCCAUGAACUAUCAGAAAUGGGGUAAAUGAUACCUGCAUCUAAUAGCUUAAGGACUUCAGUUCUAACAACUUAUUUCAUAUUAGGAUUUAACCGACAUUGCAUUUCCCUAGUAGAUUUAGCAUUUUCAUCAAGGUGAAUGUAAUGCAUGCAGUCUACUGGGUUUAUACCUUUAAUGUCUGCUAUGGUCCAUCCUAAUGCUUCUUUAUGAUCUUUUAAAACAUCCAACAACUUACCUUUUUGUUCAUCAUUUAGGGAUGAUGAGAUGAUUACCGGCAGAGUACUUUCUUCUCCCAAAAAUACAUAUUCCAAAGUGUUGGGCAAUGGUUUGAGCUCGAGUUUCGGUGGUUAUUCUGAUGAUGGGAUGAGUUUCUUUUCUGAUAGUGCUAGUUGUUCAACUCUUGACUUCCAUUUAUUAGUGUUCAUGGAUGGUGCUGAGUCAAGUAGGGCAUUGACCUCAUCGACCGAUCUGUCAAUAUCAAAAUCCAAACCAAAGUGAGUUAAACAUAUUUGUAAAGGAUCAUCACUAAGGUUUGAAAGAAAAGUGUCAUCAACUAAUGCUUGAAUUAAAUCCACAUCAAAAAUUCCAUCAUCUGCACUAUGAGGUUGUUUGGCAAUGUUGAAAAUGUUUAGCUCCAUAGUCAUGUUGCCGAAGGACAACUGCAUAUUUCCAGUCUUGCAUUGAAUGUGAGCAUCCGCAGUUGCCAAGAAAGGUCGGCCUAGAAUAAUGGGGAUGUGCUUUCUCGAAUCCUGUAUUGGUUGAGUGUCAAUUACAAUGAAAUCAACAGGAAAAUAAAAUUUGUCUACCUGGAUAAGCACGUCCUCCACAAUACCACGAGGUAUUUUCAUGGACCGAUCUGCAAGCUAUAACACCACUGGAGUUGGGUGUAAUUCUCCCAGUCCAAGUUUCACGAAUACUGAAUAAGGCAACAAAUUUACACUAGCUCCUAAAUCCAACAAAGUAUUCUCAAUUGUGUGGUUCCCUAUACUACAUGAGAUAGUGAGGGAGCAUGCGUCUUUGCAUUUUAGAGGAAUUUUGUGUUGGAGUAUAGAACUAAUAUUUUCUGUUAAAAAUGCCUUCUUUUGAACAUGAAUGUUUCUCUUUUUAGUACACAGGUCUUUAAGAAACUUGGCAUAAGAUGGAACUUGCUUUAUAGCAUCAAGCAAGGGGAUGUUAACACUUACCUGUUUGAAGAUUUCAAGAAUCUCACCUGUGGAUUUUUCCUUCUUUCCUUUAGCUAACCUUUGAGGAAAUUGAGCUUUAAGAACAUAUUCUCGUGGGUUGGUUUCUUCUUUCUCUUCGGAUGGUGAGUCCUCAACAUUCACAGGUACAAUUUGAUUUUCUUUUGUCACCGGCAUCUCCACUUUGUUAUCGACUUCCUUUCCUUUUCGCAAGGUCAUUACUGCUUUGACCUCUCCAUGCUGCUGUAGUGAACUGGUACUUGCUUCAUGCACUCCUUUAGGAUUAGGCACUAGUUGACUUGGAAACUUGCCUUUCUCAACAGUCAUUGCCAAGGUCUGAAUUGAAGAAGCAAGUUGUCCCACCAUCUUCUCGAGGCUUGAAACUGAUUGGGCUUGUGAGUUGAAGCCCGCUCCCAAUUCAUUUCGUAGUCCAUCAAUAGUGCGGUUCUAUUGCUCAAUCGUAGAGUGAGUAACAUUCCUGAAAUUUUGGAAUGCAUCCUCCCAUGGUCUAGGUUGAGAGUGGUUCUGGUUCUGAUUGUAUGGUCUGAAUGGUGGCUGAGAGGCUUGAGGAAUUUGAGGAAUUGGUAGAGCUGGAGCUGCUGGUCCAUUCUGUUGGAAUCCUUGAGACCAUGAAAAAUUGGGGUGGUCUCUCCAUCCAGGGUUAUAUGUGUUGGAGUAUGGGUUGUAAUUCGAUGGUUUUCUCAUUACACCUAUGGCAUUGGCUUGAUCUGAGUAUGAGUCAUGGUCAUGUGGUUCUGUUAAUUUAGUAGUCGAUAACGAUGCUAUUUGUCGAGCAAAACCUUCAACCAUCUCCUUGACUUCUUUGAUUCCUGCAGUUGACUCUCCAAUGUGAACCUCAUUCACUCCUUUAAUUCUUCUAGUAUUCCUGAGUGAUCGACUCCGUUGUUGGGAAUUAUCCGCUUGUCGCUGGAAGAAUUCCCAAAUUUCUGAUGCACUUUUUGACAUUAGCUCUCCUCCACUUGUUGCCAUUAGCCAUUCUUGCACAUUUGGUAGUAAUCCCUCCAAAAAGUAUUGGCAUUGGUGCCAUUUCUCGUACCCAUGAUGUGGACACUUCAAGAGUAGCCCAUUAAAUCGCUCUCAUGUUUCGAAAAACUGCUCGUCCUCUCUUUGGGUAAACUCCGAAAUUUCCCUGCGAAUAGCAUUGGUUUUAUGCACUGGGAAAUAUUUAUUCAAAAAUUUUGUAACCAUUUAUUCCCAUGAUGUGAUGCUAUUAGCAGGCAAAGUAUUUAACCAUGAACGAGCUCUAUCCUUUAAAGAAAAUGGGAAUAAUCUGAGUUUAACAUCAUCGUCUGAAAAAUUUUCGUAUUUAAAAGUUUGACAAAUAGCAUGAAAAUCAUUCAGAUGAUUAUAUGGGUCCUCAUUUUCUAGGCCAUAAAAUGUUGGGAGACAAUUUAGCACACUAGGUUUUAGUUCAAAACUCCUAGCAGCUACAUUUGGGUAUCUUAUGCAUGAUGUGCUCAAAUUAGCUAAGGGACUAAAAUAGUCCUUAAAUGGCCUCUCCUGUAGUGCUUGUAAAUCCAUUCCAAAUUUAUUUUUAAUGUGCUUUUGUGUGCGAAGUGUUUUUUUCUAAUUCAAGGUCUAUAGGUUCAAGAUUAGGAAAUAAUGACCUACGACCAUGCAUGCGAAACAAAUAAAAUAAAAAUAAAGAUGGGAACAAAACAAAUAAAAACAAAGAAGAGGGAGAAAUUAUGAUACUAACCUUAUUGUGCUAUUACAACCUUUCUAUAAAAAUACACAAAAAUAAAUUAACUAAAAAUUAAAUUAAUAAAAUAAACAAAAAUUACAAAGAAAAAAUAAAUUAAAAAUUAAAUUAUAGAAUUUUAAAGAAGAGAAAAAGAAAGAAAUACUAACAUUUAUUUGUAGAUUCACUUUUUUCUUUUUUUUUAAUAAUUAAAAAAAAUACAAGAAAACAAAUAAAAGAAAUUAUUCACAAAAAUUAAUUCUGUGAAUUAAAAUUACUUACCUCCCCGGCAACGGCGCCAAAAACUUGUUGUGCAAAUUUUAAUGUACUCGCAAGCGCACGAAUCUAUUGUAGUAUAGACUAAUGGUGACGAGUGUCGAUCCCACGAGAAGAUGAAUUUUAAUUGUGUGUAGAAUUAAUUUUCUAAAUGGGUGGUUGGAUUUGUGGUGAAAAUGAUUUGGAUUAUCCUAAAAUUGGAAUUGAAAUGACGAGAAUAAUUUGAAGAGAAUUAUAUUCAAAUGACGUACUUGGGUAUCUGGAUCCGUAUCAACAUGCACCAUGGGCUAAAUAUUCCUUAUUAAUAUCAAUUAAAUUAUGAGGGGGGAAUCCACACCUCAUGAACCACACUCUAAUCAAUAUAGUGCUAAGGGCUUAUCGUGCCAAAUAAUAAUAACCUUGUAUUAGGGAGCCGGUGAAACCAAGGCGGUACUAAACAAGAUUAUUAUUAUUUAUCGACGAGAAGUCAAAACAUCCACAAAAACUAGAGGGGAAGAGAAAAUAAAUUUAUCAAAUAAAGCCCAUGACACAUGUUAAGACUUCACCUUCAACCCAAGCUUGAAAGAAAAUUAGCUACUCAUAAUUAAACUAUGGGCAAAAUAGAAAUUUAUUAAAACACAUAGAAAAUACAAGAUGGAGAAGGAAUUAAAGAAAAUAGAUCCCAAAAAUGGAUUCAGAGAUAUCAAAUUAGGGGGGGAGGCCCCCUUUUUAUAGAUACAUGGAGUAAAUCAUGGUCAUCGGAUUAAAAACAGUUUGGACGCUCAGGAUUGCGCCACGUCAUCAGUCAACAGUACGUGGUUUAACCACGUGGAUGAACAGUAACACGGUUUGACCAGGGUUGAACAGUAACGCGGUUUGGUUGAAAAUAAUCCUGUGUGAUGCAUGUACCGUACGCGAGAUUUUUCGUCCAUUGAUAUGUUGCCACGUCACCAUCAACAGUACAUAAGAAUUUUAGUCCAACAGGAUCAUGACAUCUCAUCAGUCAAUGCCACAUCAUCGGUCAAUGCCACGUCAUCGAUCCGUCUAUGUGAACAGUAUCGUGAACAGUAACGUAUACAGUACCGUACAUGUGAAUAGUAUCAUUUUUCCUUUUAUGCUCCUCCUAAGGUUUUCGACCGUCCUGAGUUCAAAACUGAUGUCCGUUUUGCCGUCUGAUCUCUCAUUUAUUGUGAAAUGACUAUAAUGCCCCUAAAAUACAUAAAAUACUUAAUUAAAAUAAAACACAUGUAAUUAAAUCACAAGAAGGUUAAAUACAUAAAAGUAAAGGUUGUUAGUAAGACUUGAAAUGUAAAAUGACGAUUUUCUCCUUUAUAAAUAUGCAUUUUCUAACACUCAACAACUCCUCUCACCAGUCCCGCAACGAAAAAGACAAAGACAUUACCAGCUACUUCCCCACAAGCUUUACCAAAGGAUAAGUUGCGCAGUGCUUCCAAGAAGCGUUGAUAGCAUCCCAUCAUGUGCUGCAAUCCCCACCACAUGGGAGUAUUCUGUCCUUACUAGUUUUUUUUUUCUAAAAAAAACAAAUAAUCUCUGUUUUUCAAUUUGUGUGGUAUUGUCUUCAGGUCUUCCAUAUCCUUGUCCAGUUGUGUGCCUUUGUUCUGUAUGCUUGUGUGGACACAGCAUCUCUCAAGUUUGGGGGGGUUGUUUCCGAAUGCAUAUGUUUAUGUUUGUAUGCAUGUGUUCAUGUUUGUGUGGUGUGAAGCUCUGUUAUCUAGUAUUUGUGUAUGGAUUUGAAUACCUAAUGAAGAUAAAUUGAGUGUUAUUCAGUAUUAUAAGAAUGCCAAGUAGAGAUAAGUUAUAGAUGAAAAUGAAAUUAUGUCCUGACACUUAGACUUUGGUUGAAUUGUAUGAGACUGCUAGAGCAAAGCCAGAAGAAUAGAGCAGAUCCUAAGUUUGGGGGGAGAAGCAAGUUUGAUUAACUGUGAUUUCUAUGAAAUACAAUUUGUUCUAAUGGCUCAAGUUGCUGAGUAACCAGAUCUGCGUAUGUACCCCAUAUGCAGAAUUGUGUUCAAAGGUAGCAAGAGUUAUGAGCAAUGUUGUAGCACUGUUAAAAAAAAAAAUCCUCUGUCUAAGGCAUUGAGUAGCCAGGUCUGUUCAUGAGCCAUAUGUUCAGCCUUGAGUAAAAGAUACCUCUAGAUAAGAUUACAUUAUAGUUACUGCUGCAACAACUCUGAUCUGGCAUGGUUUGAGUAAUUGGGUGUCAUCAUUACAGUUGAUUGACAUUCACAUGAAAGAUAAAUGUUACAGUAAGGAGGUUGAAUAUUCUCUAGUUUGUAAAAUCCUAAAUUUGUCACAGUUGAGUAUGUGAAAGUUUUGUUGCCCCAUUUAUGAAUGAAGUAUUCUCACUGCUGAAAUUCAUGCAAACCCUUGGUGAUGUUAUAGCAUAUCUGGAAUUCAACCGAAGGAGCACACACACAAUAUGGAUAGAAAGAAGCUUAAGUCUAGAACUGAGUUACUAUGGGCAUUUUGUAUGAUUGGGUUGUGAUAUGAAGGUGGAAGAAUCCUUGUAAAUUUGAUAAAAGAGCUAAAGUUGUGUGCAUGUUUGUUUGCGGGAAAUGUUAGUAUGUGUCAUUACUUGAGGGUAAGCAAUAGUUUAAGUUUGGGGGUGUGAUAACUCUAGGAAAUGAGAGUUAUUACAUCAAUUCUAGACUUGAAUUAAGGUCAAUUAGAGAACAAAUAAGGUGUUUUCAUUACAUUUUGAUUACCUUUUGCAUAAACAUUCAUUUUAGUUAAGUCUUAAUAAGUUUUGCUUGAAUCAUAGUAAUUUGUGCUAAAAACAGGUUUUAAAUUGUAGGUUUUAAAUUCAUGAGAGGAUGUUGAGGCAUUUGAAGAACAAGAGGAGGAAGGAAGAUGACCACAAAAGAAGUAAAGCACAAUCGGGAAUAAAGCAGUGUUAUGGCGGCUGUUAGAGCAACCAGUGCUGUAGCAAUCUGGGAGCAAUGCGGGAGAAAACUUAGGCGCGAGUCAGCCAUAAAAUCGCGAUAUGCAUGUUUCCUAAUUUAAACACAUGCACACUCAUGGGCUUUGAUUUAACCUAAUGUGCAAUAUAAAAAGGAGGCGUGCACCACAAAGAAAGGCGGCAAGGAAUUAUCAUUAGAAUAAUUAGAAGGAACGAAGAAGAAGAAGAUUAGAAUUGAAGAGUGUUGUUUCGGCAACAUUGGACAAUCGUGCAGAAUUACUUGACUUUAAUUUUCAUUGUGCUCAACUUAUAUUUAUCUUUUUCCUUUAAUUGAUUUGAUGUAUUCCGAGACCAAUAUGUUUAUGUUUACUUUUCUCAUUCAGAUUAUGAACUAAAUUUACUUGUAGUUGAGUGACAAAUAAUCCAAUGGGUUCUUGACUGUUCUUAUAUGUUGUUACUGAAAUAUAAGUGUGCAACCCAAGAGGGGGGGUGAAUUGAAAAUUUAAAAAAUAACCUAGCAAAUCCACACAAUAAGCAAUCUAAUGCCUUAAUAAAAAUUGAAAGCAAUAAGUUUAAUAAAGGCACAAUAAUUAAAGAGUAAGGGAGAAGAGAAACAAACACACGAAUUUUUACGUGGUUCGGCAAUCCCCGCCUACGUCCAUGCCUCCAAGCAAUCCAAGCUUGAGCAUUUCACUAUCCAAGCCUUUCCGAGGCUUCAACCGAUUACAAUUGACUUCGAGGUGUCAAUAAACCUUUACAACAAAGAGAUUAUGUCCAAAUCUCUUCACUCAAGUGUCUCACACACUCAAACUCUUACAAUUGAAAUGAAGAAAUGAAAGUUACAAUAAAACUUACUCAAUGAGUAGAUAUUCAAAAAUGAAGAACAAGGAAUGAUUCAAUGUUUUGUGUUUUGCAAGUUGUAAGCUCAAGAUAUCACGUGUGCUUUUUGUUUUUGCUUGUUGGAGAGCUUCAAAAUGAGUUGGAUUUGAGUUCUUAUAGUUUGAGCUCAAAAACUAGCCGUUACUCAUAUUCCAGGCGUAUCCGGUUUGCCGUUUAUGGAAUCCAGUUUGCCGUUUAUGGAAUCCGGUAAGCCAGAUUUAUGUUAUCGUUAAGGCAAAAAUUUGAAUUUUGCCUAUCCGGCUUGCCGGUUACGAAAUUCGGUAAGCCGUUUUCGUUCUGGAUGCUUACUGCCCGUAUCCAGAUUUCUGAUUUUCAAAAUCCGGAUAGCCGCUUGCUACAGUAACCUGCUACAGUGAAAUUUUUCCCAAAUUUUCAGUUUGACCCCAAAACUUUAUAAAACUGUAGUAUAGCCCAAAAUGUUAUGAAAUAUUGCAAAUAGGUCUAAUUUCAGAAUUUCUAAGUAAUGCUUUGUUAAUCCCAAAACUUUCUGAAAUUAUGAUUUCGCCCAAACUUUAUGAAAUUGUAGAAUGACCCAAAAAUAUUUAAAUAGUUUCAAAUAGGUCCAAAUCUGAAAUUUAAAAUACUAUCAAAGAUUUUAAAAUUACUUUCAUUUUAGUCCAAAAUGCUUUAAUUCCAUAACAUCAUUUUCUUAUUAUAAAAGCACAAUUCAUAAAUCUUUACUUAAUAAAUACAUGUGGUUUGUUAUCAUCAAAAUCAAUAUUUAUAGCCAUAUAGGCUAACAAUCUCCCCCUUUUUGAUGAUGACAAAACACAUUAAAAACUUUAAUCUUGUUAUGAAAAAGCUCCCCCUUAAUCAAUGCAAGUUAAAAAAUGAUUUGAAAAUUGUUUAACAAAAACUCCCCCUGUAUACAUGCUCCCCCUAGAUACAUGCAUAUUUUCAUAACACAUAUUAAAUCAUUCUCCCCCUUCAUCAUCAAAAAGAAUAAAAGAAUAAAAGCUCCCCCUAUCAAUCAUCAAAAUAGAAACACAAGCUCAUUAGUAAAAAAGAUAUCCAUAAGCAUAAGGAAAUCCAUAUAAUCCAUAAUGAUCAACCAAAACAAAUCCAUAACAUCCAACAUAAAUAGUCACAACAAAUCCAUAUCAUCCAAAGCAAAUACAUAAACCGAAAAGCAUAAUAACCAUCCAUAGAGUCGAAAAUAAAAGAACACACAAUGCAGUAAAUGAAAUGUAGGUGUGUCCAAGUACAAGCAUAAGAUACUACUCAGGUGGUGGUGAUGGAGGUGAAGGAGGUGGAAACGGAUAUGGAAUGCCGAAGUGCUCAAAGAAGAGGUGCUGUCCAUGAAUGAGCUGAAGCUGCAGCUGCCGCUACUGCUGCUGCUCCUGCUGAAGAUCAGUCUGCCGCACCGAAAGUGUCUGCACCUCAUCCAUAAGCUGCUGAAGAGUAACAUCUCCAGAGGUAGGAGGCCGUGGAGGUGAUGAAGCGGAUGCAGAUGCACUAGGAGCUGAAGCAACCGUGGAAGAAACUCGACGUCUACGCUGCCCUUGAAAUGAGAGUGAGAAUACUGGAAGCUGAUCGGCUGGAAUCACAGCAUUAAGUGGCCGAUCAUCACUUGGGGCUAGAAAGGUAAACUUGUUAUCACUGUAUUUGACCCAAGUGUCAUCCUUCCACUCAAAGCCUAACCCAACAAUAACCUCAUCCCCAAGACCCUUGGACGGCUUACAAGAUGGUUCUAGAAUCGGCACUUCAAAGAAUUUAAGAAUUCGGGUAAUUAAGUGACCAUAAAGAAGAGAGCGGGUAAUCAAGGCAAGAAUGCUCAACAUGGUCCGGAUGAUUGAAUAGCCCAAGUCAACCGGUCGACCGCUAAGAAUACAGUCAAUCAUGGCGACAUCCAUGUGAGAAACCUCAUCCAAAUGUCCUGAUCUAGGAAGUACAAUGGACUGGAUGAUACGAAGCAAAAAACGAGUUUGAAGACAAAGACACUGAGUACGGAAAUGAAUGGUACAGUCCUCAACAGAAAGAUCACUACGCCGACAAAUAUUACGAACGGCAUCAACAUGAACAUAGUCAUCAAUAUCAUGAGGUUUCCUAACAGAAAAAAUGUCCAGGCCAUCAUCAGAAGAUCCUAGGAUGGAGUUCAACUCCGAAUCAUCAAAUUCAAUCAAAACUCCUCCAACUUUGGCGAUUACGCGAUUCUCUUUCUCCUCGGAACAGUCCAUAUUCGAGUAAAAUACUUUCACCAAGUCAGGAUACACAUUCUCCUCAAUCAACAAUGCAUCAAUCCAACCAACAUCUCCCAACAAUUGAAAUAAAUUUCUAUAAUUAAUCUUGAGAGUAUGCAAAACAUCCGGUAAAACAAAGAAAGUGUUGAGUACCUCACGAGUCCAAAAGUUUUGUUGAAACCGUUUGAUCAAGUGUUGCUUGUUCUGAAAAUGAAUGGACUCAAAAUUGGAUUGGUUGGUGGCCCCUUGCUUCCCGUGGCCGGGUGGUUGGUUGAACUGGUUCUUUGCCUUUUCUACGAACCGGCCGAGAGCUUGACAUUUUGAUUUGGUUGAUUUAGAGUAGAAAAGGAUAAGGAGAAUGAUGAUGAUGAAGAUUGAAAGUGAUUUGGAGAAGCAAUUUGGAUAAAAAAACGGCUUGAGAGUGAGAAAUCUAGAGAGAGAAAAAUUCGGAUAAACCCUAGGUUGAAUUUGAGAUCUAGAGUUUUGGAUGUUCAAAAUGGAGUUUAAAGAUUGUUUUGAGUGAAUGAAGUGAUGGGGAAUGAUUUUCUUGACUCAAUUUGAUGUGAAAAUGGAAGGAAAAGAUGGAUUUUGGAGUGAAAUCGAGAGAGGAGUAAACGGUUUUUAGUGAGAGAACAAGAAACGGUUUGCUGAAUGGAGGAGGAAGAGGAUGAACAGCAAAAAUAAACCACGAAUCCGGCUUGCCAGAUUUCCUAACCGGCUAGCCGGUUAAUGGGCAGUAACUCACAAUUCAACAAACGGCUUAACUCGGGAAACAGAAAAUCUGGAAGUCCGGUUCUUGGGCAGAAACUUGAAAGCCGAAAACGGCUUGCUGGAUUUGUUAUCCGGUUUGCCGGAAAUGAACCCGAGAACAAUCAACACGAAAAUGAUUUUUCGGAUGCCUUUAACCGGAAAUCCAAUUGUGUUGCAGCAUCCAUUCACGCGAAUUCGGCUUGCCGGUUUUUGAGAACCGGUAGACCGGUUGUGAGCCAGAGAGGUGGCAAAGCAAAUCCGGUUUUCCGGAUUGAAAAUCCGGUUAUCCGAAUGUUGUCCCGAGAGCAACCAAAGCUAAUCUGGUUUUCCGGAUUGAAAAACUGGUUAUCCGAAAAUUGUCCCGAGAUAAAUCAAUAAGAAAGAAUGGUUUUCCGGAUGCAUGGAAAAGGAAUAUUGGCUAGCUCUUAUACUUGUAAUACACACACCAUUUUAUUUUUGGCUUUAAAAAUUGAUUAACUUUAAAUCAUUUUGAGAUUUAAAUCCUUUCAAUAAGCCAUUUAAUGCAUGCAACAUAAAACCAUAAAAUCAUAAAAUUAUAAAAUUACAAGCAUAUCAAGCUAUCUAAUUCAUGAAGCAUAAAUCCAUAUGAUAACAAACAUAUCAAGCCAUGUAGAAAAAUAUGAAUUAAGAUUCAACAUUCAUCAUUCUAAGCUCAUGUCUUAUCUUUAUAAAAUGCUCUUCGCUAAGAGGUUUUGUAAAGAUAUCCGCAAGUUGAUUUUCAGUGGAAACAAAUUUAAUUACGACAUCUCCUUUUUGAACAUGAUCUCUAAGGAAAUGAUGUCUAAUUUCUAUAUGCUUAGUCCUAGAAUGUUGAAUAGAAUUCUUAGAAAGAUUUAUGGCACUAGUAUUGUCACAUAAGAUAGGAAUUUGACCAAGUUUAAUACCAUAGUCUCUAAGGGUUUGUUUCAUCCAUAGAAUUUGUGCACAAUAACUACCUGCGGCAAUAUAUUCUGCCUCGGUGGUUGAAAGCGCAACCGAGUUUUGUUUCUUACUAAACCAAGAGACAAGUGAAUGGCCUAUGAAGUGACACGUUCCAUUAGUACUUUUUCUAUCAACCUUAUACCCAGCAAAAUCGGCAUCCGAAUAACAAGUUAGAUCAAUAUGAGUUCCUCUAGGAUACCAAAGGCCAAGAUUAAUAGUGCCAAUUAAAUAUCGAAAAAUGCGUUUGACAGCAAGCAUGUGAGACUUUUUAGGACAAGAUUGAAAUCUAACACACAAGCAAACACUAAACAUAAUAUCAGGCCUACUAGCAGUCAAGUAGAGUAAGGAUCCGAUCAUACCUCGAUAUGUCUUGAUAUCAACUUCCUUACCUUUCUCAUCUUUGUCCAGCUUGAUGGUAGUACUCAUAGGAGUGCUUUUUGCCGUUCCAUUAUCAUAGCCAAAUCUUUUGAGUAGAUCUCUCACGUACUUGGCUUGAUUUAUGAAAAUUCCUUCCUCGUUUUGUUUGAUUUGAAGUCCAAGAAAGUACUUCAACUCUCCCAUCAUACUCAUCUCAAACUCUUAGCUCAUACAUGAUGAAAAAUCUUUACACAACAACUCAUUAGUAGAACCAAAAAUAAUAUCAUCAACAUAAAUUUGAACAAUAAGUAUGUCUUGGUUCUUAUGCUUAACAAAAAGAGUUGUGUCCGCUUUUCCCAUUGAAAAAUCGUUAUCCAACAAAAAAUUUUUAAGCCUAUCAUACCAAGCUCUAGGUACUUAUUUUAAACCAUACAAAGCCUUGGAUAACUUAUACACAUGAUCUGAAAAUUUUUCAUUUUCAAAACCAGGAGGUUGUUUCACAUAGACUUCCUCCAUAAUAUAUCCAUUUAAGAAAGCACUUUUGACAUCCAUUUGAUAUAAAAUAAAAUCCUUAUGACAUGCAUAUGCUAACAACAUCCUAAUGGAUUCUAACCUUGCUACAGAUGCAAAAGUUUCAUCAAAAUCAAUUCCUUAUUCUUGGUUGUAACCUUGAGCCACUAAUCUAGCUUUAUUUCUUACAACCACACUGGAUUCAUCCAUUUUGUUUCUAAAUACCCAUUUAGUACCUAUAAUGGAUUGAUGUUCUGGAUUAGGAACUAACUCCCACACAUUGUUUCUCUCAAAUUGAUUCAACUCCUCUUGCAUUGUCAUUAUCUAAGAUUCAUCGUUUUCCGCAUUCGCAAAAGAUUUUGGUUCAAUUUGAGAGAUAAAUGCAGCAUACUCACAUGUAUUUCUAAGGGAUGAUCUAGUGGUAACACCUCGUGAGGGAUCUCCUAAAAUUACAUCCUUAGGGUGAGAGGAUACAUACCUCCACUCCUUGGGGAGUGUUUGUGAAGUACCUUCAUUUUGCUCUGCAUUUGUUUCUUCAUGAUGUUCUUCUUGAAUUCCAUGUGGAGCGUCUUCUUGGUUGUCAUUCAAUGCUUCUUGUUGUUGUUCUUCUUCUGCAUUAUCAUCAACAACAACUUUCUUUGUAGAUGAGGGGUUAGACUCAUCAAAUGUAACAUGCAUAGAUUCUUCCACAACUAAAGUUCUUUUAUUAUAAACUCUAUAAGUUUUGCUUGAAUUUGAAUAACCAAGAAAAAUACCAACAUCAGAUUUUGGAUCAAAUUUACCAAGAUUAUUUUUGUGUUCAAAACAAAACAUUUGCAUCUAAAAACUUUAAAAUAGCCAAUGUUGGGUUUUCUAUCUUUCCAAAGCUCAUAUGAAGUUUUAUUAAGAUUAGGUCUAAUCAACACCCGAUUUAAAACAUAACAAGCGAUGUUGACGGCUUCGGCCCAAAAAUAUUUAGGCAAAGAGUUUUCAUUCAAUAUGGUCCUAGUCAUUUCUUGAAUAGACCUAUUCUUUCUCUCUACUACUCCAUUUUGUUGUGGAGUCCUAGGUGAUGAAAAUUGAUGUUCAAUACCAAGGUCAUUACAAAAAUUUUCAAAUGCAUGAUUUUCAAAUUCUCCACCAUGAUCACUUCUAAUACAAGUAAUAGAAUAACCUUUUUUUCAUUUUAAACCUUUUUAUAGAAAAUUCAAAAUACAUCAAUGGCAUCAUCCUUAUUAGCUAAGAACAAUACCCAUGUGUAUCUAGAAUAAUCAUCCACAAUUACAAAUGCAUAAUAUUUGCCACUUAAACUAGCAUAUCUAGAAGGUCCAAAUAAAUCUAUAUGAAGCAAUUGAAGUGGUUUUGAAGUAGAGACAUGAUUCUUGCUUUUGAAGGAAGUUUUGAUUUGUUUUCCAAAUUGGCAUGCUUCACAAAUUCUAUCUUUUUGAAAACUGAUUUUUGGAAGACCUUUAACUAAAUCAUUUUUCACGAUUUUUGAAAUCAAAUCCAUGCUUGCAUGACCUAAUCUUCUAUGCCAUAACCAGCUAUCAUCAUGCAAUGCGGAGAGACAUUUAUCAUGUAUUGAUGCACAAUCUAUAUUAAUGGUAUAGACAUUAACACAUCUAUUUUCUACAAACAAGACUUUCCCAUCACAUGCAUUCUCAAUAACACAUUUUGAUUCAUCAAAGAUAACUCUAUAUCCUUUAUUGCAUAAUUGACUAAUACUAAGCAAAUUGUGUUUCAAGUUUUCAACCAAACACACAUUUUCAAUGAGAGUAGAGGAUACAUUACCGACAUUUCCAAUCCCAAUGAUUUUUCCUUUUGAAUUAUCUCCAAACGAUACAUCUCCACCAUUUUCGAUCUUAGUGAAGCUUGAAAACCAAUAAUAAUUCCUUGUCAUGUGUCUUGAACAACCACUGUCCAAGUACCACUUAUUCUUCUUCUUCUUCUUCAAGCCCUGUAGAGAAAAUCUCAAGUUUUAUGUACCCAAACCUUUUUGGGUCCUUGAGAGUUAGCAAUGGUUCCUUACGGAACCCAAACACAUUUCACACCAUAAUAUGCAUUUCUCUUCACCACACAUCUAUUUUUCAUAUGACCAUCUUGAUUGCAAUAAUGACAUACAAUUUGAUUGUUAAUAGAUGUAUUCUUCACAAAAUAACUCUUGUAAAAUUUUUGUUUCAAAUUCGGUUUAUAACCUAUGCCACUUUUGUCAAAUACACAUUUUUGUGAGUUUAGCAAAUUGUCCAACAUCUUUUGCCCAUUUGUGAAUUUUAGCACAAUUUCAUUUAGUUCAUUGCUCUUCUUUUUAAGCAUUUCAUUCUUAUUUUUCAAGUCAUUCAUGUGUGACUCUAAGUGCUCAUGUGAAGUGCUAGAAUUCUCAAAUGAUGCAAUACUCUCAUGCAAUGUUUUAUUUUCUAAUUCUAGGCAUGUAAUAUUUGCACUAAAUGAAUCAUUUUCAUUCUUAAGCUCUAUCAUCUUCUUUUUAAGACAUAUAUUCUUUUACCAAUCUUCAUUAGCUCAUCAUGCAAAUCCUUAAAAGCAUCAUGCAAUUCAUCAUAUAUAGGAAGAACACUUACCUCAUCAAGUUCAUCACAUGAUUCUUCCCCAACGGCCAUGAGAGCUAAGUUUGUCAUUUCUUGUUGCUCAUCCUCAUCACUUGUUUCCUCAUCGCUAUCAUCUCAUGUGGCCACCAUAGCUUUCUUCUUGAGUUUGUUGAGAAGAGGACAUUCCGGUCGUAUGUGUCCGGGCUUCUUGCAUUCAUAACAAGUGAUUGGCUCCUUCUUCUCCUUCUUAUUCUUGUAGCCUCUGAACUUUCUCUGUUCAUUAUUCUUCUUGUAAAAUUUUCUGAAUCUUCUAGCCAACAUAGCCAACUCCUCAUCAUCCAUUUCGCUUUCCUCAUCACUCUCACAUUUUGAAGCCUUGAGAGCAAUAUUUUUCUUCUUUUCCUCAUGCCUUUUUUCAGUUGUCAAAUCUUCUACAUAUGAAAUGAGAGAGCCAAUUAAAUCAUCAAUAGGUAAUACAUUUAAAUCCUUGGCAGUUCUUUUUUGUCUCUAUUCUUUAGGUAGAGACCUAAUGAUUUUCUUGACUUUUUCGCUAUUUGAAAAAGUCUUUCCUAGGGCUCCUAGAGUGUUCACUAUGUCCGUGAAUCUAGUAUACAUAGAGUACACAUUUUUAUUUUGUUCCAUUUGAAACAAUUCAUAUUGUCGAGUGUACCUACUUAUUUUAGAUUCUUUCACUUGGUUCGUGCCUUCAUAGACAACCUCAAGUUUGUGUCAAAUCUCAUUAGAACUUUCGCAACUAGACACUCUAUGAAACUCUUUCUUAUCUAGUGCACAAAACCAGGCAUUCAUGGCCUUGGAAUUUAGAGAAGCUUUUCUCUUUUCGAAUUCAUUCCAAUCCCGUGAAGGUUUUGGAAUAUCUUCUCCUACUUCAUUUUUAGUCAAAGGCAUGAAAGGACCAUCAUUAACGAUUUCCCAAAUCUCAUAAUCUAAGGCUUGCAAGUAAAUUCUCAUCCUAGUUUUCCAAUAUGGGUAAUUGUUUCCAUCAAAGUAAGGUGGUCUAGUGGUGGACUGCCCUUCCCUAAAUGUGGAAUCAUUUUGAGUUGCCAUUGAUCUUUAACUCUAAAUGGUUAAAUAUAAAUAAGAGCACCUCGCUCUGAUACCAAAUGAAAUAUAAGUGUGCAACCCAAGAGGGGGGUGAAUUGGAAAUUUAAAAAAUAACCUAGCAAAUCCACACAAUAAGCAAUCUAAUGCCUUAAUAAAAAUUGAAAGCAAUAAGUUUAAUAAAGGCACAAUAAUUAAAGAGUAAGGGAGAAGAGAAACAAACACACGAAUUUUUACGUGGUUCGGCAAUCCUCGCCUACGUCCACGCCUCCAAACAAUUCAAGCUUGAGGAUUUCAUUAUCCAAGCCUCUCCAAGGCUUCAACCGAUUACAAUUGACUUCGAGGUGUCAAUAAACCUUUACAACAAAGAGAUUAUGUCCAAAUCUCUUCACUCAAGUGUCUCACACACUCAAACUCUUACAAUUGAAAUGAAGAAAUGAAAGUUACAAUGAAACUCACUCAAUGAGUAGAUAUUCAAAAAUGAAGAACAAUGAAUGAUUCAAUGUUUUGUGUUUUGCAAGUUGUAAGCUCAAGAUAUCACGUGUGCUUUUUGUUUUUGCUUGUUGGAGAGCUUCAAAAUGAGUUGGAUUUGAGUUCUUAUAGUUUGAGCUCAAAAACUAGUCGUUACUCACAUUCCAGGCGAAUCCGGUUUGCCGUUUAUGGAAUCCAGUAAACCGGAUUUAUGUUACCGUUAAGGCAAAAAUUUAAAUUUUUCCUAUCCGACUUGCCAGUUACGAAAUCCAGUAAGCCAUUUUCGUUUUGGAUGCUUACUGCCCGUAUCCGGAUUUUCAAUUUUCAGAAUCUGGAUAGCCGCUUGCUACAGUAACCUGCUACAAUGAAAUUUUUCCCAAAUUUUUAGUUUGACCCCAAAACUUUAUAAAACUGUAGUAUAGCCUAAAAUGUUGUGAAAUAUUGCAAAUAG